rnacentral:lncRNA from 1 species
GCACGUAUGAACGUUAUGUUCGAUACAACAUACACUCCUGAGUAUAUGAUAUUCAACUUUUGUUUUCCUUGCAUGCCCAUGCAGGCGGCUAAGGUCUCAGCAAGGAGAGACGCGAGGAUGGAACGGCAGGGGAUUUCGGUGCCGCCGCGGGGUGAGCUUGCGUCGGCCUCGAUCUCGUUCGGGGGUUCCUCCCACGGGAUACGGUUCUGAAUUCUGAUGUCAGUGUAAAAUGGGGAGCAGCACCGGCACGCACGUAGGGUUAGGAAUCAAAUCCGUCGACUUGGUAGAAACACAUUUUCUGAUGAAUUUUAGUAGAUCGGCAGUUGUCAUGUCUUCAGUUAACUAAAAAAAUUACUCCCUCCGUACAUAAAAAGUGUCGUCUAUUUUGUACUAAAUUAAUAUGAAUUUUGUAAAGUGAGCGGCACUUUUUAUGAAUCGGAGGGAGUACUCCAUACGAGGUACCAAAUUAGUAGAUUUGCAACACAAACCAAGGCCAUGUGAAGCGUUGGUCAACAAGCAUAGCUAACUAGUUCAAACACUGGUUCUAACUGUUGCACGUUUGCAGCAGCUAGUGCUAAGAAUUUUUUGUGGAACUGAUUCAACAACUUACUUGGGUUCUAACUUAUCUAAAAAUUAUUGUUACUUUGGUGGGGCCAGGGCUGAGAGGAAGGAGUGAGAUGGAAAAGGUUGGAUAAGGUCUUAGAAUCUAAUUUUAUAUUAUGGCCGAUGGGUCCCAUAAGUGAGUCUAGCAGCAAAAGCAUGUUGGAGGAGCUUUUCUUUCUUUAACGCCUCGAGGUAAUAACACCCGCACUACAAGAACUUGGGCCGCGAGCAAUUUGAUACAAGAACUUAAAAAAUGGGGCUCUUCAAAACUUGUAUGCGUAUUCACUUUUCGUCAGAUGCAUUCCGAAGCCGCCACGUGCCUUGCCAGCAUGGCCAAGGCGCGUCGCGUGGACUUGGUUUAUUGUAAAAAAAACGUUUUGUUUAAGUUGUUGCGAAAACCCCGCCACACAUUCUUCUCCUUCAUCUUCCCACAAUUCCCCUUCGGCCUAACCCUAAAUCGGCGACUCGGCGAGUGAGAGGGCGGCGGGCGGCGAGGGAGGAGGGCGACGACAUGGUCGACAUUGGUGAACCUAGGUCGAGCCUUCGGGCUGCUCAUGCUCACAGAGGCGGUGGCCUAACGGCCGCUGAACGUUCGCCCCCGCCAAGGAGUGGGUGACGGUGACUGUUCUUCAUCAUCUUGUCUUGCUCUGAAUCAAGCUUUGUGUCUGUCAAAAACUGUGAUGCAGCUGGAAGCCGUUGGAAGGGAUGAGACUGAAUCGCCAGGAAGAGAUCUGGCCUCCCCAUACAAGAAUCACACAUCAAUGAGCGUAUCAAACAAAAAAAAAAACAUCGCAUGCGAGUCCAGCCGAACCUCCUGCCUCGCUACAGGGAGCAAACGAAAAAACAAACAGAGAGAAACACACGCGGAAAGCGAACAACGCCAUACUUUCUGAAGUCCUGAAAUCACAGAAACGCAAAUAGGUCGCCCAUACGGGGGGCGAAAAGGAAAACUGCAAGAGAUCCCGACCUAGGGUUUUAUCCCAUAUAAGUAGUCCAGCCCCGUCUCCUCGCCGCGACCCCUCGCGCCGCCACCUCCCGUGCCCUCCCCACCUCCUCUGCUCUCUCGCGCUGUCGCGCACAGCGCAAAACCCUAACCUCCAAUCAUGGCGGCGGCGGAAGGAGGCGCCCCGGCGCUGACCCAGCAGCAGCAGGACAUCCAGAUGAUGCUCGCCGCGGACGUCCACCUCGGCACCAAGAACUGCGACUUCCAGAUGGAGCGCUACGUCUUCAAGCGCCGCACAGACGGUACCCAACGAAUCGCCUCAUAUCAUGAUGCACUUGUUAUUGCUCGUCUUAGAAAUCGUAGAUCAGGCCGCGUUACUGGUCUGACUAGGCGCACGAGUGUUGUUUUUUAAGUUGAACUCCCUGCACAUCUUGUGAUGUCCAAAUGCCUACUGUGCUGCAGCCUAGUGUUUACUUGUCAAUUAUAGGCGUGUUCAGACUGUCAAAUCAUGUGAACAAGCUGUGCAAAAUUGCUCCUUCGGUAGCUUUAGUUACUGGUCCGUGGAGUUGCAUUGACUAUUUCCUAGUGUAUCUAGAUGAUUGUUGUGUAAAUAGACGCCUUGUUUGAAUUACUGCAAGUAACAUCUUUGGUAGCAUGCUGAACUCAAUGACAUCAGUGUAUGCUUGCACAUAGGAGCUCUGUUAAUUCAGUUUCAGACCUUGUGUUCCAUAGCAGGUAGUGUCAUUUCGGAAAAUCAUUUAGGUCUAUUAAAGAGUAAAAAUCUGUGAAUUUAUUUUCAUUGCACAAGCUCGUCUCUGAUCUGAGAACUACAGUGGAUCACCAGAUUCCUGAUUGCUUAAAUUUUAAGGUGGUGUUGCUUUGUAUAUGUUUGCCUUGCUUGCAUGCUUCUGUUAGAACAUACGAAACACGAAUACAACAAAAAACCAGCAUACUCGUAUCGGAUACUGCAUGGAUACGGGGAUACGGCCCGACACGUAUUUUGGCCUAUUGGAUUAUUUUUUGAUUAAAAGAAAAGAAAAAAAUUCGGAUACGUGAAGGAUACCUCUCCGAUACCUGCUCGAUACGGGAAACCAACAAAAUCGCAACGAUCUAUCCUUCCCCAUCUUUUGCACGACCUACCCCUCCCUCUUGUAUUGUAUGAGUUCGCCGAGGUGCCACCGCCAGGCUCUCCUAGCACCAGGCAAUGUGGAAGGAGGAGCCUGUGCCUGCUGCCUGCAGCCCGUCUCCCACCGCUGCAUUCAUCCGCCGUUGACCUGUCGCUCGUUGUCUGCUACCAUAGCCGGGGCCUCUCCAGCAUCUGAGAGAUUGUGAGUCUUCUUUUCCCUAACCACCUCUUCUUUUCUCCCUUCUCAGUUGGAACGGUGGAUUGAUUUCUUCUCUUCUCCAGUUCUCCCUUUUCUGUUCAGGUCAGCCAUGGAAAGCAGAACUUCAGCUUCGAUUGGGAGAUCAAACACUGCAGGAACUGGGGCACGUUCUGUUCAUGGUGGAGCCAGCAAUGCAGACAAGUUUUCUUUUGAUGAAAAAUCUUACUUCCUGUAUUCGUAUUAUUUAUAAUUAUAAUGUAUAUGUACAAACGUCUACGUAUCCUCGUAUCUAUAUUUUCUAAAAAUUGACGUAUCGCGGUUCCCCAUAUCGUGUAUCGGAUACGUAUCGGUGUAUGUGCUUCCUACAGUAGAACUGAUCUGUAGUGUAGUAAAAAUUACUGCAUUUGUUCAAGUUUCUGAACAUGUAAAUAACUGUUUUUGUGUGUUUCUGGUUGCCUACCUGUUUAGAUAAAAAAAUAGAGGAGCUAUAUCUAGAAACAAAUUCGUGUUAGACUAAAACUGAUUUGUGAUGGUUUCUCUGUACUUGUAUGCAAAUAAACUGAACCUCACUACCUUGAAUUCAUUGAGCUAGAAGUGGUAGCCUGUAGUUUCUUUGUCAAGGGUGUACUGUAGCAUAUCUUCUGUUUCCAGUGCAGUGUAGCUAGAACCCAAAAGACCACCAACAGGUUUUACGGUUAGAUGCUUUGUUCCCAGAUUUGGUAGACUUAUUGGUUAAACAUUGUAUAAGCCAACUAGUGGGAAACCAGGUCAGGCUUUAGAAGUAAAGUUAACCAUGUUAAGCAAUUGAUUAGUUCCAGGAUCCAAAAGCUUAGAACCAUAAGGUGAGCUGUACCUCUUUAUAGAAUAAUGUUAGUACAACCAUUAGAUGGUUAGUAGAACACUUCUGCACAACUAUACUUAAUGUCCAGAAGCAGCAACCACUAGAGAUGAAUCCCAAUUGUCUAGUUAGCUAACAGUCAAAUAUCCAGAACCAGAAUUCCAAUCAAACUGGGUUAGAGAGGUCAGUUCAGUCACAGUUUGUUUCUAGUCAGAAAAACUUCUGUGUGAGGUGACUACAAUCCGAUGUGCUAACCAGAACAUCUUAACGGACCUCAGUAGAAUAUGUUUAUGUAACUGAGUUCUGGUGGCAACUUGUGAACAAUGAAUAUGAUCCUGUGAAUCGUUGCACAUGUGGGAAUUCAUGAGAUUGCCUUAGUCAAUUGCUAGCUGCUUUACGGUCAAUUUCACAAUUUCUUCCGUCAAUCAACAAUGUAAAAAACUUUAAAUGCAAUUGAGCAUGUCUUCCUUUCUGCAAAAAAUUUCAGGUAUUUACAUUAUCAACCUUGGCAAGACUUGGGAGAAGCUUGUGAUGGCUGCGAGGGUCAUUGUUGCGAUUGAGAACCCUCAGGAUAUCAUUGUGCAGUCUGCUAGGCCCUAUGGCCAGAGGGCUGUCCUCAAGUUUGCGCAGUACACUGGUGCUAAUGCCAUUGCUGGUAGGCACACACCUGGUACAUUCACCAACCAGAUGCAAACAUCAUUCAGUGAGCCACGCCUGCUUAUCUUGACUGAUCCCAGGACUGAUCAUCAGGUAUAAGCUUGUAUUUGUUUACAAGCUCUUGUUCAUUUACUCAAAUGAGGACCUUUGUUGAUUGUUUUGUUAAACUGUGUACAGCCCAUUAAGGAGGCCGCUCUUGGAAACAUUCCCACCAUUGCCUUCUGCGAUACUGACUCUCCUAUGCGUUAUGUUGAUAUUGGCAUUCCUGCCAACAAUAAGGGAAAGCAGAGCAUUGGUUGCCUAUUUUGGCUGCUUGCUAGGAUGGUUCUGCAGAUGCGUGGUACAAUUCUCCCAGGGCACAAGUGGGAUAUCAUGGUUAGUUUCAACAAUCCAAAGCAGUAUUGUGCUAAACAUUAUUUUUGUUAUGUUAUUAAUACAAUAUUUUAUUUUUCUAAUUACUGCUGCCUGCUGUUUCUCUUUUGUAGGUUGAUCUGUUCUUCUACAGGGACCCCGAGGAAGCAAAGGAGCUUGAAGAAGAAGAGGCUCUGGUAGCUCCUGACUAUGGUGCAGUGGCAGAAUAUGCUGCGCCCACAGCAGAUACCUGGGGUGGUGAAUGGCCAGGAGCUGCCGCUCCACCUGCUGCCGUUGUGGCCGAAGCUGGUGCUGACUGGACUGGUGCUGCAGGUUCGAUUUCUUUCAUUUCGUGCUAUUAGAUUACCAACGAACGGAAAAUCAACCUUCAGUCAUAUGCAUGAAGUUUAUCUUUGAUGUUUUUUUUUCUCAAGUGUCAAUGUUGUAUACUACCUUGUGGCUGGCCUAGGAAGGCUUGAGGCUGGGUUUAAGCUUGCGUUUGCAGCGAGUUAAGCUCCUAUCAUGUUUUUUGGUGCUAGCAUAAGGUUCGGCCCACAUUUUAAGUCAGGCUGCCUGCUGGCAUUAAUUUAGAACCUUGAUCUCAAUAUUUGGUCUAUGCCUAUAGUCCGAUAUAUGAAGCCAACUGUUAUGUUAUACCUUUACCCGGGAAAUGAUAACUCCUAUUCGAUAUUUCUAUUUCCCAUCCUGCAUCUGGUGAUUUAGAUGUAGAUGUCUGCUUGCAUGUUGUUUGAUAGCAACCUGAACAAAUUGGUAUUCUGAAUUGCAGCUCCUGCGGCUGAUGCUGGAUGGGAUGCAGUUGCUGCCCCCCCACCUGCCGCCCCUGGUUGGGAACAAGGCAGUGCGCCUGCACCUGCUACGGCUACCCCGAACUGGGAGUAGAAGAGUAAAGCACAUGGAUCAUGGGUGGAUGACUGAGUUAUUUGCCAGAAGAGUAAAAGCACAUGGAUCAUGAGUUAUUUGCCGUUUAAGAAUCCUUUUGGUAGACAUGCUUAAGUAGAUUUAAUUUUUACAGUAGGAAUUGUGUUAGAUGCAAAUCGAUUUUGUCUUGUUGACUAUGAGUUGCCCCCAACCUUAUGUUUCCUCGGACGGAUAACUUUAUGCCAAGUGAAUUUGCCAGCGACAUGUAUGUCCAGCAACAAGUUGGUAGUCGAUUUGUUCGCUAUUUUGUUACUUUCCUAGUACUUGAUCACACGAAAAAUCCAAGGUGUAUGCCAAGUGAAUUUGCCAGCGACAUGCAUACCAUGAUCGUUCUUUUUUUUUAGGGAAGGCCAUCAUGGGUAGGUUUAUUGCAAAUUAGACCAAAGUUACAUCAUCGAUGAGCAAAGGUAAAAUAAAACUAGGGAGGUUCUAGCUCAUGAGCUACUUUGCUAGAAUCUCGGACAAUUCUCGAUGAUCAUCUUCCCAAAGUCCUUCAGAAUCUCCAAACAGAUGUAAAUGGCUGCUGCCGGAGAUGAUGGCCAAUUACCACUUGUCAUCUCAUGUACGACCUCGCUGCAAUCAGGAUUUAUCAGUAGGUUGGAGCACCUAAACUCUGAGCAAAAUACCACGUUGGAGCGUCAAGGCCUCUGCCAUUGUGGCAUCGUACACAACCAGGAUUAUGCUGUUCAUUGCCCCUUCAAAAGCACCAUUUGCAUCUCGUACAACGGCUCCUGUCGCCCCUUCUUCCAAAUCCUCGAUAAAAGAAGCAUCAAUGUUAAGCUUCUGCAUUCCUUCUGGAGGUCGACGCCAACCAUGCCUGUCUGACCCUGUUGGCUUGGAAUAAGCCCGCACAUAAUUCAUAGCGAGGGCUUGAAUCGCCAUCGCAGAGCGAUGGGGAGUUUGAAUCGAUUCACGCUUGCUCAAUUGUCUUCUUUCCCACCAUAUGUACCAGCAAGCUAUAGCUGCCAGUUCUCCAUUAGUUAUAGGCCCCAUAUAGGUCUUGUGUGCAUUGUUACCUCCAAGCAGAUACCAUGAUCGUUCUUAAUGUAGAUCCUGUUGGGCCUUGGCCUUUGAUCCUAGCCUUGUCCUUAGCUGUAGUCCGAACUUUGUGCGUCCUUUUUGGUGUGUGUUUAUUCUGGCCCGGUGGUGAUUGUUGAGUUCGUGUCCGGCCCAUGUCAUUCCUACUCGGGCAUCUUUUGCUAGUAUUAGAUUGAGCCUAGGAAGCAUCAAAUGAUCAGAGUGCGCUACCAGCCUAACAUAGCUGGAAUUCAUCAAGCUCCUAGAUUUUCACGCACCGUUUGCGGUGGGUGGCUGAUGCAGUUUCUCAAAAUCUUUAAGAUUAGUUCAGCUUGUGUAAGUAUUGUAUUUUAGAAAUUUGCCGACGAAUACGUGGAGAAGCAUCAAGAUGCGAAGGGUGGAUCAAGAAAAGGGACUACAACGAAGCUUUUAGUUUUGUUGAAUAUAUUCGUUAUUUGUGUUUUUCGUCCGUGUAUCAUCUUUUGUACUUUGUCUCAUAAAUGAAUAAAACCACAUCGUUGCUCUCUCUCAAAAAUAAUAAUAAUUCAGUCUACAUAUGUCCCUAGCCAACAAUUCCCUCAUGUUUCAUCAUUAAUAUCAUUGUUUCUUGAACUGUUUCACUACAGAACUCAUAAUUAAGAUGAAAGUUGAACAUAAUAAAGGAAAGUCUCUUCCACAUGUGACCGCCGCGUCAGAUCUACGUCGACAAAACCUGCUCUUUAAGAGGCUUGGCCUCUCUCUUCCUAGACAAUCUCACCUUUCCUUUCUUGUCUCUCAAGAAAUAGGAAUUUGAUCACAUAGGAUCAAUUCUCUAAUUCAGUUUUUCCUUUCCUUUCCUAGAGGUGGCCGGGCAGGGAGUCCCGUAAGCAUUCCCAAUCCUUCUGUUUGGUCUCCCCACGUACGUGAGCUCCACCACGUGGUGGACAACUCCCACCGAAGGCUUCCCUUUCCCCUAAUGGGGCUAAGCCCAUAGGGGAUAAUUAAUUAGAUUUCUCUAAUUAAUUACUAUAGAGGCCCAAUUAAAUUCUCAGAAAUAAUCCGGAACAUUUCAAAACCUUCCGAGAACUUCCGGAACCUUCCAGAAUAUUCUCGGGCAAUACCGGAAAAUAUCCCGAACUUUUCCGAAACAGCUUUUUCAUAUAUAAUUCUUUAUCUCCGGACCAUUCCGAAGCUCCCCGUGAUGUCCUGGAUCCCAUCCUGGACUCCGAAUCAAUAUUCGAUAUCACCAUCUAUUAUCUCAUCGUACCCUAGCGACAUUAAGCGUUAAGUGUGUGACCCUACGGAUUCAAGAACAUGCGGACAUGACCGAGACACCUCUUUGAUCAAUAACCAAUAACGGGACCUGGAUGUCCAUAAUGGCUCCCACAUAUUCCACGAAGAUCUCAUCGGUUGAACCACUGUGUCGAGGAUUCAAUUAAUCCGGUAUCCAAUUCCCUUUUGUCUCGCGAUAUAUUAAUUGCCCGGGAUUUGAUCAUCGGUAUCACCAUACCUAGUUCAAUCUCGUUACCGGCAAGUUAUCUUUACUCGUACCGCAAUAUAAUAUCCCCGUGACUAAACACAUUAGUUACAUGCUUCCAAGCUCAUUAGGAUGUUAUAUUACCGAGAGGGCCCAGAGAUAUCUCUCCGUCACAUGGAGUGACAAAUCCCAGUCUUGAUCCAUACAACCCAACAAGCACCUUCCGAUAUACCUCAAGAACACCUUUAUGAUCACCCAGUUACGAGAUGACGGUUGAUGUCCACAAAGUAUUCUUCCGGUACUAGGGAGUAGCAUGAUCUCAUGGUCUAAAGAAAUGAUACUUGACAUAAUAAAAUCAUUAGCAAUUUAAACUUAAGUGACAUGAUCAAAAGUUAUGCUUAGGUUUGGGUCUGCACAUCACAUCAUUCUCCUAUGAUAUGACCUCGUUAUUAAAUGACAACACAUGUCUAUGGUUAAUAAACCUUAACCAUCUUUUAACCAACGAGCUAAUCUAGUACAGGCGUAUUAGGAACACGGUAUUUGUUUAUUUAUCCAUACAUGGAUUUAGUUUUCUGUUAAUACAAUUAUAGCAUGAAUAAUAAACAUUCAUCAAGAACAAGGAAAUUUGAAUAAUAACAAAUUUAUUAUUAACUCUAGGGCAUAUGUCCAACAGUGACAAGGGUUACAAAUCGAUGAGCAACUCAGUCGGCGAAUGGAUCAUACGCUUUGACGUUGAUCACGUCCUCAUCCUCCAACAUCAGGUUCUCUGGUUUCUGCUCUCUUGUAAUUUCUUUGCCUGAAAAAUAGAAUCUCGUCUCCCCGGACAUUUCAGCCGGCACCAUGCCGUUGUAAAAAUCCAUUAGGCGCUGCAUCCUGUCAGUUCUACCAAUGGAAAAGGUGAACCUGCGCCCAUGACGGUCCUCUAACACGGGAGUGACGAACACCCGCGGCCUAGUCACCAGGAAGAACUCGACCUCGGCGCCGUCUUCCAUCCCACGGUCCGCCGGCGUCUCUUCGCACUUGAUCCGCCGGCCGUGGUACAGGAAAACCCCGUACCCGUGCUCAACGACGGGCGCCAUGGCGCUGUAGUAGAAGUCCAUGAGCACGUCCAGCUUGUCCGUCCUUCGCAUGGUGCGGCUCAGCCGGCGCCCUUCCUCGUCCUUCACCACGGGGGUGACGAACUGCCCGCUGUUCGCCUUCGCCAUGUCCGGCCGGCCAGUCUACGCUGCGCGCUAUAGAGAUCAGCUCUGGUUGUGGUGGUGCUAGUGAUGGUGCUGUUGCUUUAGGUGGCGAUGCGCCGGGAGUAUAUAUAGUCGGCCGCAGCGACAGAGCCGUCCAGGGCCAUGACUGCAUGCAUUCUCGUUCUCUUUGAUUAUCUCCGGUAAUCUCGGUGGGCACAGAUAGUUCAAGGAGACUCCCCGGAUAACCGAGAAUCGACGGGGACCAUGAAUGCACGAGUCCAAUACUAACCAAUUGAUGCCAUUCUCAAGGUGAAGAUUAAUCCCUGACUCGAGGGAGUUCAUUCUAGUUAAUGUCUCUGUUUGUGUGAAGCUUGCGGUCAACGUGUUUUGAGAAGCAAAAGGGAUUCCCAAAGCAAAUGGAGCACUCAGUCGAAUACUAUUCUCAAGGUGCCGCCCUGACUCUCGAGGGACUUAAUUCCAACCAGUUAAGGUGCCCAUGCGUUGUUAUGGAUCGAAAACUUCAUCCAUAAAUCAUGAUAAAAAUAUCAUAAUUUCUGCGAACGUCUGGCAAUAAACACGUGAAUUGAAAAAUGCAAAUCGGUCAGUUCACCUGGUCCCUUUAAUCCUUUAAAAAUGGCAGUAGGGUGUCCUGCUUUGCUUUGCUGGUACAACAACAGGCAAUCUUAUUAUAUUUGUCCUUGUAAUAAGACAUCAUAUGUACGUACAAUGACGAUUUUAUUAUAUUUGCACCUCUGUGACACCCUUGUAAUUCACAGCUCCAUCACAAUAGAUGUUUUGUCUUCGUCUUUUCUGGCACCCACCGUGCGAAUAUCUAACCACCACCCUUUUAAAUUGCCUAGCAUCUUCUUCUACUCACCUUAUUAAGUUUUGGGAUCGAACUGAAUCGACAAACAACUUAGACAAGCAUUUUUUUAUUCUCCAGCUUACUUUGUAUCAGGAUAUCACUGUGCAUCUCGACAGUUAUCUAUCUCUCUUUCUCCAACCCCCACCAUGAAACAAGAAAACUUGUCAUCUUCCCUUCUCCUUUCAUGCACUCUGCUCACUAUAUUGCCUUCGUUUAGAUCUAGCAUUGUCUCGCUCCAAAUGUGCAUGACAUCCAUUCGGAUUGUCGGACUUACAACAACAGGCAAUCUUUAGCACUGUUUAUUUCAUCAUGAUCAGGAAUUGUCCAGUUCUGCCGAUGCGGCUAGCAUUCAGCAUGAAAAGCAAGACCAUAAAAUGUACUCCAUGUUAGAAGUUAAUCUCCGUACAGCGACAAGUAUUUAGGAAUAAAUUCCAGGAACCAUAAAAAUGAUCUCCGGGACAACACAUCUUAGUACUUGACAUAUACUAAAAACUGAAGAAACAUGGCAUACUGACCCAUACAUUAAUCCGAGCUUACAACAUAAAAAAAUACAGUAGCUAGGAGUCUGUAUACAUAGCCCAUAAAAAUAAAAUACAUCCAUCCUCUGUUGUUGCAAAAUCAGGUCAAUGUUUAAUACAUGGGAGAUAAAGGGAAUCUGCAAGUUAAUUUUUACAGCAUCUAUUUCUUGCAAGUAGGCCAUUCAUUGUAUCAUCACAUAAAUUCUGCCCUUUCUCGGUCAAGUACAAUGCUUUCCGUUUCCUUCUAUAAAAGCUUAAAGGAAAACAGCUUGCUAGCUAAUGACAAAAAUAUAGGGACUGACCUUCUUGAUUCAUUUUAAAUCGGCAACAACUAAGUUAGUGCCUUUUCAGGAUGAAGCUUGAAGACUUAGAUUAAGUACAGUCUGCGCACCAGGCAAGCUACUUGGUGAAGCCGACACGACUGUUUCGACCUUGCUGCUGUCGAUAAUAGGUGUGGAUACAUGGGUGUUCUGAAUGGCAUGUUUGCCCUUGCUACCAGCUGAAUCAAGUUCUUUGCCAUGUCAGCUGCUGGGAAGUCGCUGAACACAAGCACCUUUCCAGCAUAGAAGAUGGUGAGCUAAUUUUUCUCUUGGUCCCUGUAAUAAAUCCCAAACAUAUUAACAUUGGUACAGAUCACCGUCAACACAAGAAGACAUCCGUACAGAUCAACUUUUUCUAUCAACAAGGAUCCAGCUUAUGGUGCAUUAGCCUGUAAAGUCUGAGCAUCCAAGUGUUACAAUUUUGAGCAUGCAUGACUGAUCAUUUGUGAAGAUUUAGUUAUAACAAUCUCUCUGAAUUAGAUUUCAUGCUAAGACAAACUCCUCUUGCGACGUCUAGCUCUGAUUCAGAUGAACUAAACGCAGAUACAAAGGUUUUUGGACUUAACGUUUGGCCUUAACUUCUAUGGUUCUCACAAGAUUAGUAGGAGCCUAAGAGAAGAAAGAUAGGCUGAAAAUCAAGUAGAGCAAAGUGGGGCGUGGGCCAAUACCUAGCAAUAGAACCAGGGGCAGCCGCAUCCUGCAUGUUGCACAAGCCGGUGAUCCAACAAAAGGUUGUCGCCGAGGCGGCGGAUGCCACCGCCGCGUCCAUCGCGAGCCCGUGGUCGCUACGCAGCUUCAGGGUGGGAUGGCGCCGGCAGCCUGCGGCAGCGAGCUCCAUGGCGGUUGGAUCCGGCAGAGGAGGAUGCAGGGAUAGAGAGGGAGCGGAGGAUGGCGGCCGUGGUGGCCAUGCCGGUCGGGGCAAUGAACUCCGUGGCAGCUAUAUCCGGAAGAGGACGGGGAGCGAGCGUAGGCGGGUGCAGAUGGCGGCGGCGAAGGUAGUAGGCUUCCAUGGCCAUGGAGAUUGGAGUGCCUUAAGGGGAACCCUGGUGGAUGGUUGGGUCGCCGGAGCACGCGAGGAUAGAGGGCUGCGGCUGCUGAGAUGGGAAACGGCGGCAGUGGCGGAGGCGAGGAAGGGCGGCGGCGACGGAGAAGUGGCGACGGAGGCAGGGGAAUCCGAUCGGGAUCGGGACUGUCAGGCGCAUAAACCGGUUCUUUUGUUGUUCGGUUUUCUCAUCGCGGGACGCGGGAGCGCGCGCGACUGGUUUUCUUUACGCGGGUGAGGCGGACGACGUAGAUGGACUGAAGUAACUGUGUGAAUUAAGAAGCAGCAAAGAUUAGUGUCUCUGUUGUUCUGAAGCCUGGGUUUAACGUGUUUUGCGAGGCAAAGGGAUUCCCAAAGCAAAUGGAGCACUCUGGAUACCAUCAUGCAUGCAUGACAGCAUGAGUCAAAUUUUGGACUCAAGAUAAUACUCUCUCCGUCCAAUAAAAAUGUUUCAAGUUUGUCAAAAUUUGGAUGUACCUAAACAUGAUUUUGUGUAUAGAUGCAUUCAAAUUUAAUCAAAAUUAAGACAUCCUUUGUUAGACAAGACGAAUAGUUUUUUUAGCAAAUCUGUUAUUUUCAAUGUUUCGUCCCGGGGUCCCAAAUUUCGGGAGACCGUGUUAAGGUUUUAAAUUCGUGUCCCCUUUCGAUAGGAAAAACUAUCGUGUGCAUUUCCAAUCGACUGUACUUCGUUUUCACACUACACAGCUAUCAAAUUGCAAGUUUAAAUGGUCAUAGAAUGCACGGAUACAAUACACUACUCCACCACACACUUCAUAUGCCAUCGUCCUACGAUGCUUCAUCCUUGAUCAGUUGAUCUCAUACGACGGGCAAUGGUUUCGAUGGAAAUCUUUCAUUGGCCAUGUGCGUUCUCGUUUGGAUUCAAGGCAAGGAAAUCCACACGCACGAAAUCCCCAAGACCACCAAAGAUGAUUUUAGGGUUCACCAGGAUCACCUCCAAAAACAGUAAAAACCACAGGUAAAUACAAAAAAUCAUAGUAUUGUACUAAAAAACAAAAGGAAAUCACAAAUAUUCCAAAGGAUAAUAAAUUUAUGCCCGUCCAAUGACUCCAGAAACAAUGUUUUGUUGCCUCACAAUGAACAUUGAAAUACCCACUAUAGCAUUUCUGUCAUUUCCUAACAAUGAACAUGGUUCGCAACACCUCCAGAGAACUUGGUCUGCAUAAAACUUAACUCAAAAGAUGCUAAGCCAAUUGAUUUAACCGAUGCACUUUAUCCUUGGACAAUACUUCGACAUAAACCUCUUCUUUAUCCUUACCUGGAAAACAGAAGUGGAGGACGUUAAUUGGGCUAAAAAGGAAUAAAUAUGACUUACAAUUCAAUUCUUACAAUCUGAUAGUAAAAUAUAACAGGUCGGACAAGAGCUAUGUCACAAGUAUGUUUAGCUAAUUAUCUGGCUCAUCAGGACACUGUCUACGGUUUCGUUAAUGAAGCUGGGAUGACAAAAACCCGUUUGCUUCAGCUCAACUGAUGUCUAACAGCGUUCAAACUUGUACAAGCAUAAGUACGAGACAACAAAAUCUGCUAGUUAGGAAAGCACAGCAAGAAGUGAACUCUCAUAACCAUAGCGUGGCAUUUGUACUGACAGAAUCAAACGCUAGCUAAAUACCCUGAUAAAUUGCAAGAAAGUGCAAUAAGGCCCACCUUUAACAGAACAAAAUCUGAUUGACAAAUAAUUGAAUCUAAUGGAGUAGCUGACUGUAAUUGCCGAAUACUAAAUGCUUAAAAGACUGGCAUUUUGAUCCCAAGUUAACUGACAGAGGAGUUAAAAAAUGGUGCCGGUUUGAUCAUCAAGCAAACUUGAACAUACAUAUACACUUGGCUAUUUAAAUCUGGACCAUUCCACAAUUUGCAAUUGAAAACUUAUUGUGUACUACAAAUUUGGAGCUUCGUGUUAAGAAAAAUCAUUGUGCCGAUAAAUUAUCACAAGGACAAAAGAAAAUUGUUGGCUCCGCGCGCCGACCAAACCAAAACUUCAACUUCAGAGUAAGGCAUGCAUGAUAACUCAUGAAAAGAGAGAGCAUCUAAUCAUAUAUUUUACUACGCAGAUUAUUGUAAAGUCGUAUUAGGCUUGUAUAGAAGCAGAAAAAUGACAAAGCUACCCCCCACAGAAUGAACUCGUCAAUUCACAUAAAUUACAAAUGGUGAAAACCAAGACAUAUCAAUUCUACAAAGGCGGAUAUUGACUUCAUUUCACCUAAAGAGAUGACAUUAAUCAAAUGCUCAAGCUUUAAACAAAACAUGUGUAUGCAUCCUUGAAAGGCUUAAAAACCUGAAACAGCCCACCGCAGAACCUGUAGUUUGGUAGCAGAAACAUACCUCGUCUCUGGCUGCUGAGAAUUGAGAUGUCCCUCAAGAGGUACUGCUUCCCCUACUGCUUCCACGCUCCUCCUCAGCACAAUUUGUUACAGGCAAUCUGUGAGAAUCCAUAGAACUAGAGAGAGUGAGAGAUGAAACUAAUUCGUCCCUCGACCUGCAGGAAGUCAGAGGAGGACGAGAUGUUGCUGGAUUAAUGCAUAAGAUCAGCCGCUGGACGACAAGCGGACCGUAGAAAUCUAUUCUCAGGAAUAUUCAUGCAUAAUGAAGCAUUUCUGCUACAAGCAUACUACGAGAGUUUUGGAUAUGCUAGAAAUAUAUCACCUCGGCGGAGGCGUAGAAGGCCAGGAAGGCUGCUGUUCAAAAACGUCUCAUCCUCAUCCUCCACCCCGAGUUCUGCCAGCGUCAUUUCAGGAUGAGGAAACCUGUUUUGAUAUACAAAAACUAGCUCAUGGUAUCGAGCAGUGGGUACCAUGGCAUAGUAGUAAUUCAUCAAGCUCUGAAUCUUGUCAGUCCUCCGCAUGGUGCGGGUGAACUGACGCCGUUUAAAGUCGACGAUCACGGCGGUGACGAACACGCGAGGCGAGAUCUCAGGGAGGAACCGGAUCUCGUCGCCGUCCUUCAGAUUGUAAUCUGCCGGCAUCUUGUUGUAGUAGAGCAGCCUGUCGUUGCCGCGGUGGACGAAUAAGCCAUCCCCAUCCUCGACGGUGGGCACCAUGUCGUAGUAGAAGCGCAUCAGGUCCUGAAGCUUGUUGGUGCUUCGCAUGGUGCGGCUCAGCCUGCGCCCUUCCUGGUCCGUCACAACGGGGGUGACGAACUGCUCCAUCGCUGGCUCGGCGUCCUUCCCCUUCAUCUUCUUCCCUGCCGGAGCCGACAUCGUCAGCCGAUACGGACGUCGGUUUCCGGCACCUAAUGCCUAGCUGUGGUUGCGGUGCUUGUGUUGUCUUUGUUGGGUUGCGUGGGAGCGGCGGCGCCCGGAGAGUAUCUAUAUCUACCUAUUAAAUUUGCAGCUGGUGUCCACUGCCCAGCUGUGGUUGCGGUGCUUGUGUUGUUGUCUUUGCUGGAUUGCGUGGGACAGGCGGCGCCCGGAGAGUAUCUAUAUCUGUCUACCUAUUAAAUUCACAGCUGGUGUCUUUGCUGGAUUGCUGGAUUGCUUGUGUUGUUGUCUUUGCUGGAUUGCGUGGGAGGAGCGGCGCCCGGACUGUAUCACCACUGCACAAUGGGCUUGGCCUAAGAUCACAUCGAGCCAGCCAACACCCCAACACGCGCGAAAUUAGUGGGCCUAACUCGAAGUCAGCAAUGAGCUAAGCAACCCCUAGCUCAGCAACAACACUUUUGACAACCAGGGGUUUAAGUGUUUAUCGCUCGAGGAGAUAGAUCAUGGAUUCAGGAUCCUAGUCAGUUGUUCUCUAGACCACAUGAGACUCGAGUACACGACAAUGGAUCACGUCAUGUGAAAUCUCAGAGGAUAGAGAUGCCAGACGCCCUAACCGUCGUGAAUUCCGAAAUUCUAGGCCAAUCGCCGCUAGCCGCAAUCUUGAUUGAUUGCCACCAGACGGCAAAUGUGAGAUUAGCAAUUAACUAGGUAUGUGAAAUUGCUUUAAGAGGAUAAUUGUCGGUCUAACUAACGUUUUCUUAAAUAUAUAUAGAUAAAUUUGUGAAAACUCUAGAAAUGCAGACACUUAGCUAGUGUGUAUAUAUAUACUAGACCAUAAUAGCGCAUGUUGCCAUGCCCAUCGAUUUGCCGAUAAAAUGGUAGGAAUUUCAAUAAGUAUAAGGAGACAUGAUAACUUGCUUAGUAUAGUUGGACAUUUCAUAAAAUAUGAAAAUUUUGAGUUACAAAGCAUUCACUCCCUCCGAUCCAUAAUAAGUGUAUGAGAUUUACUACAAAAUUGUACUAACUUUGUACUAAUUCCCAGACACUUAUUAUGGAUCGGAGUGAUUAUAUCUUUUCUUUGUGAUGUGAAUAUUGCUAUAUAUAAAUGUUUCCUUCUACAUUUGAACAUUCCAAUGUUAACUUUCUCUGAUAUAUCGACCAAAAUUCCAAUGAUAACUUUCUUAGAGUAAUACCUAUCAGCUUCCGCUAACAUAUGCUGCAAGUUAUAGCCUAGUAUCAUUAGAGCUUGGCAAUUUGUGGCCAACCACUUUGCUAGCCAGCAUCAUCAUUGCCGGCAUACAUGGAAUGGUCUGGACGUGAUCUUUAAAUUUUGAUCUGAAAUGAUAAAAAAAAUUCAUAAACUUCGUAUUCUCAACAUAUCAUGUUUCCUAAUAAGUAACAUAAGAAUCAGUCUAAUGCUGAGUGUACAAAAUAAAUAUCUUGCAACUAAACUGAUGCCUUAACUCACAUAAAGAAACUUGAAAGGUAUCUCAAGUCUAUUUCAUAUAUGUAAGCAAGGAGCAUCAUAGUAGAUCUAGCCGACUGGGCAAUCUAAAAUAAUAAAACAGGGAAGUACAAAAACCGGCCAAAAAUAGAAAACUAAAAACAUGAUGAACACUUCAUACAUAGCAAUCUCAUUUCUUUAAGUGUGGCUACUAACAGGUUACAAAUAGAUAAAGAAGGCUGAACGAGUGUGUCUCAUUAUAGCUUGCAAUGAUAUUGUCGCUCUGAAAUUUUUAUGCUUUCAUAUGCAAUACUACAGAAAUAGAGCUUAUUGGGGAAAUUGCUUGCAUGCUUUCCUAAAAUAAACAGCCAAAACAUCAAUAGACUAUAAUCAGAAAACAAAGCAGAAAAAAUCCUAUAAAAGCAAACUGAGAUGAAGCAAUAGAAACAAGAAUUGCAUACUGCUUGUAAACUACCCUCAGAUUUUAGUUUAGAUAUGUUAUUCAUUUCUCUUAGCAAAGAGAGUGUUUGAAUCAGACCAUCAAUUCGCAUGGAGUAUAAAGACAACUACUUCUUAUUCAAACUUUAACAGUUAUGCACCACUACCAUCUAAUAUUUUCAGGUAGCCCACCUUGAUUAUGUAUACCACACACAACACAUGCAAAUAUUGUUGUACCCUAGCUAAAAACAUUGAUUGUGACCAGUUGUAGAAUACAAGUAUAAAGUGUCGGUGUACUUCUAUCUAGCUAAUGCACGAACAUAAGUGCAGAGCAAAUAAAUACAUCACCGAGUUUAUCCAAAUUAUUUACAAAAUAUUUAGCUCAAUUUUCUGUCACAAUACACAUAACUCAAAACGAGACCACACAUUGGUGCUAAAUAAUUAGGUUCCUUGUUCUUCAUGUCUUUCCACUUAUACUAAGUGUGAAGAACUCCUUUACGAGCAUUUUAUAUGCAAGUUAUGCAUUGCAGCCUAAAGAAAUUUAGGGUUAAUAUGGAUUAUUAUGUAACCAUGAGCACUGGACCUAGUCUAAUUGAUUAUAUUUUUCAAAAUUAUAAAUCACAUUGUUAAUUAUAAAUUCACCUGUGAGUGCUAUCUAAAUCAGUUUCUCAAGCCUAAAGAAAUAUAUAUUUCAAUAGUCAUGUGUGAAGAAGAUCCUUACCAUCGUAUUCAAUUCAGAUAUACUCCCAGUUAUCCAAGUUGCUCAAAAGGGCUCUCGAGGAAACAUAUCCUGGAAACAAUGGACACAUAAUAAUUUCUUCUUUGCAAUAUCUGCACAAACAAUAGAUAAGCCAUUUGAUCAGAUAGGAAAUGAAUUGAGAGUGUGCACUAAAAACUAGAACAUCAUGUGUUAACUGUAUCUGAUUUCACACCUGAAGGCCAUUUCUCAGCGUAGAACCCGUUUUCCUAAGGCAUGAACUUCACCAGUUCAAUUGGUUUUGAAGAAAUAGAUCAGUUACUGGAACAAGCUAAGCAAAUCAAAAUCUUUGCAUGCGCACCUAGCAAGUAUCAAAAAGGUGCUAAGAUAAAGAUUUGAACACCCAAUCCUUGCAAAUGGACGGUGUUAAGAUAAAUACAUGGACAUCUAAAACUCGCAAAUGGAAUGUCAUCAUACUUCUUGCGUUUCGAUUUUCUGAUCCAGCCCUUUCAACUUAGUGACAUGCAUGCCUCCUUUCUUCCUUUGUGCCUUCUUAUCUGCAUCCACAAUGCCCUUCUUCUCCUUUUUGCGCUGCCAGCAAGUAGACAACACAAAUUUGAAUCUAAAUUUUGAUUCAGGAACAACCAUUUCUAAUUUUUUUGGGAAGACAACCAGUUUGAUGUCAAUAGCCAGCAAAUCCUGACUACGCAAAUGAACUAUCGAAAUAGAACCAUAAGCAUCAAGAAAUUGAAAGAAGAAAGAUAAGGCGAGAAUAAAUUAAUCUAAUACCUUGCAGUGUGGCAAUGAAGUCCCUUGAUGUCCUACAGUCCUGGUCUCCUGGGCGUAGGAUCCUCCAGACCAGCCUUCUACAGGACGUAAUCCACAUUUAUCUGAAAAAGCCCAAACACAACAAGAAGAAUCGAGUAAAGGCAGAGGGAGUUCACCUUGGAUGGAGUUUCCUCGCCAUCUUCUCCCCGGCAAACUCAUAUGCGGCUCCCCUCAGUGACCUUGUUCUUGACCUCUGUAGCGGGCAGAUGGCGAUGCAGUGUGUUUUCAGGGAGUUGGAGAGAGCAACGGGAUCAGAGGAGAUUGGUGUGAUGGGGAGAAUGUGCAAGAGAAGCAGGAGACCUACCGCUAAGAGGCGGUGGUGGCGGCGCACAUAAGCUCUCCCAAGGUUGAUCGAGAUCACGAGAGAGGAGAGAUGUUAGGACUGAGCGAGCAUGGUGGGGGUGCAGGGGAUCGAUGCGAUCAUGCGAGGGACGGCGAGGGCGGCGGCGACACACCUAGGGUUCGUCCUGUCGCGGGAGGAGGCAGAUCGGGGAAACGAUGCCGCCUGACGAUAUACCCAGAUCUGGUUAUCAAGGAGGCGGCGGAUGGGUCGAGGAGGUUGAAGGGCACUGGUGCCGUAGUGCGACGAGACCAAUGGGAGAGGCCUCGAGGGCCGAUGAGAGGAGGAGGCAUACGGCCGUCGGAGCAGGCAGGGCUGCGUCGGGAGGAAGCGGCGGUGGCGAGCUGGCGACAUACCAAUUUCCUUACUGCGACUGCUGAACAUUAUGAAUUCAAGUUUUUUUUUUACGAAAACCAUCAGCUGUUAAAUAUGAAUUGAAGUUCAAUUCAUAGAUAAUAGAACACGUUCGAAACUUCGAAUUUCAUUGACUUUCACAGUUUUCCCUAAACCGUUCUUCCUCUCGAGUACUGUGGCGUACUCGUUUUAUUCUUCAUAUUUUGGGUAUCUCAACAGAUUUCAGUUAUGACAUGUUCUAUACAUCCAUUGUUUUUUCUUCAUAUUUUGGGUGAGUCAACGGAUUAAAGUUCUUGGAAGAGAAGUUUCAUUGAAAUCGAUGAAAAAAGACGAGUAAAUUUUAUAUGAUGACACAAAUCAUAGUGGACAAAGUCAUUCAAGAUGGAUAUUUUUAAACAAAGUAGAGGAGAUAUUUUAGUACUAUAGCAUACUCUCUUAUUUCAGAAGCCUCAUAACACAGUCAACUUGCAAACUGCAACCGGCCGGUGACAUCAAGGGUCAAUUAGAAAUCUAUGAACAACCUAUGACCGGGAGAAGAAAUCUAUGAAGAGCCUAUGACAUCGUAUAUUCAUAACCAUUCUGACGUUGAUCACGUCCUCAUCCUUCAACAUCAAGUUCUCUGGUGUCUAAUCUCCUCUAAACCAUCUCCCCCGCGGUGGGCACCGCACACUCACACGGCGCCUUAAGAAAAUCAUAGUCGUGGAUUACAAAAUGUAGUAUUGUAGAAGAAAUCACAAAUAAUUCCAAAGGAUAAUAAAUUUAUGCCCAUGCAACUGACUCCAAACAAUGAUUUGUUGCCUCGCAAUGAACAUUGAAAUACACCCACUAGCAUUUCUGUCAUUUCCUAACAAUGAACUUGGUUCGGAACACCGCGAGAGAACUUGUACACAUAACUUAACUCUAACUUAAACUCAAAGGAUGCAAAGCCAAUUGAUUCAACGGAUGCAUGUUAUCCUUGGACAAUCUUGAACAUAAACCUCUCUUCUGUAUCCUUGGCUGGAAAACAAAAGUGGAAGACAUUAAUUAGGCUAAAAAGGAAUAAGUAUUCUUUUUUUGCGAGGAAAAAGGAAUAAGUAUUCGUUGAUACAACCCAAUUCAGCUGCAAGCUUAUAGUGAAAUAUAACAGGGAGGACAACAGAUAUGUCACAAGUAUGUUUAGCUAAUUAGCUGGCUCAUCAGGAACGUGCACAUCAAAUUAAAUAACCAAUAUUGCACAUUCUUGAGGAAACAUUGAUGCAAAUAAACCAUAAAGGAACAAAGCCAAGCAAUGCAUGCUAGCAUAAUGCAACCUUAUCAUAGUUCUAAUCAAAACAUGAGUAAGCUAACCGCAUUGAAUCUGAAUAAUUAUUAGCGCUUGUUUGCUUGCUCACUGAGACUACUGUAAGUUCAGAAACCCUUGUAACUAACCCAUGUUUCUCCACACAAUGCACACACCAGGGGGCAUAUAUAUUCUGAUUGCUUUAGGACAGAAAAAAAGAUAGCAUCUAACUAUAUUUUAGAACUACACUUUUUUUUUGACGAAACAAAUACAAUGAUCUAUUUAUUGCUGAAGAAGAUCGCCGCCCAUUAGGUUACACUCGACCGUACAGAAAAAGAAAAAAAGAAAACUAGCACACGCGGGAAUGUACAAGGAAUUUGGACCAAAACAAAGAUGAUAAAGCUCAGGGGACAUUGUCCAUGAACUGCAGACAUUACUGUGAAAUCGUAUUUGUAUAGAAACAUACCUGAUCUGCCCACCGAGAUUUGAGAUGUUCAUCACUACUGCUUCUCCUGUCCUCAGCACAAUUUCUUACAAGCAGAUCUGUGAGAAGCAACAGAAGUGAGAGAUGAAACUGAUUCAACGCUCGACCUGCACCAGCCUAUUCCAAACCCGCCGGUCCACAACAUGAAAUCUAUUCUUAGAAACAUCCAUAAUGAAGUUAAAUUUUUUUUGCUGUUCUUUGCAAGUUAUGAAUCAAAAAAACGUUAAUUUUUUUUGCUGUUCUUUUCUGUAUUCUCUAUUGAUGAUACUAUCUACUCCCUUCAUUUCAUAAAGGUUGGCACGACUUUGAACUAGGUCUUGUUCAAAAUCAUGCCAAUCUUUAUGAAAUGGAGGGAGUACGAUGGAUUUCAAUAUCUGGCCUUAACCAUGAUAUCAACACGACGGACACGAGGUCUUGCCAGAGGAUAUAUAUACAGUUGCACAAUAAAAUCAACAGUAAAAUAUAAAGACCAUGCCCUUUUCUUCAACCAGGAAUCAUACUACCCUACGAGGGUUUUGGAUAUGAUGUGGUGUUUUCUUACGCAUUUGCUAGAGCUAGAAAUAGAUCACCUCGAUGCGGCGGAAGCCCACAAUACAUAGGCUGGUGGUGAAAAACGUUGAUCUGAUCCCCAUCCUCCAGCUCCAGGUCUGCCAGCGUCGCACCAUUAUUAAGGAACCUGGCGUCGAACAAGAAAACCGCCUCAGCGUAUGGAAGGGUAGGCACCAUGGCGCAGUAGUACUCCUUCAAGCUCUGCACCGUGUCGGUCCUCCGCAUGGUGCGGGUGAACUCGCGCCCCUUUGAGUCGCGCAGCACGGGAGUGACGAACAUGCACGGCUCGAUCUCCCGGAGGAACUGGAUCUCGUCGCCGUCCUUCAGGUUGUAAUCCGCCGGCGUCGCUUCGCAGAGGAGCCGGCUGCCGUGGUGGAGGAAGACGCCAUCCCCGUCCCCGGCGGUGGGCACCAUGGCGUAGUAGAAGCGUAUGAGGUCCUGAAGCUUGUCGGUGCUUCGCAUGGUGUGGCUCAACCUGCGCCCUUCCUCGUCCGUCACAACGGGGGUGACGAAUUGCUUCUUCGCUGGCUCGACCUUCACCUUCCUCUUCUUCACGGCCGGAGCAGACAUUGUCGGCCGGGUUGUGGUUGCAGUUGCUGAUCUGGGCGUUGUUGGUUUCGAGGGAAGGGCAGGGGGCACCCGGGGAGUGUCCAUAUACACACGGCCGCGGCGCGAAUCCAGCCCACUUUCACACGACUCCACGCAUUCUCGUUCUCUUUGAUUGUCUCCGGUUAUCUCGCUGGUACGAGAAUAAUAAUUCGAAGAGACUGGCCGGAUGCCCAAGUAUCGGAACCAUGCGCGUGCGCGAGUCCAAUGCUAUUCUCAAGGUGCCAAUUGCAAUUAAUCCCCGAUCGAGUCAUGGGAAGUUAAUGCCAAGUUUUAAUGUUUGUUUUCUGAAGAUUGUGUUCAACGUGUUUUGUGGGCUUGGUAGUAACAUAGAUGCCAACUAGACAUUUUCGUGAUAUGGCAUGGCAAUAAAUGAAAAAAAAAGAGAAAGAUGGUAACUAGAUAUGUUACCAUAAUAUCACACAAAUCAAGACAAUUAAUGACACAAUGCAUGACACCACACAUAAUUUACUAUCCACCAUCGAGAUAGUAACUCAGAGUAGUAACACUACUCUUAGUUACUCCCCACUAUGACCAGCCUUAAAGAAAAAGGGAUUCCAAAGAAAAUUGAGCACCUUGUCAAGCAUCAACUAUGCAGUCACUGAACCCCUAGGCUACCUUUCUGCCCUUCACAUUGUGUUUGGGACAGCGACACUGUCACCUUGAUAGGAACCAUCGUACUGGCUCUCGUCGUAAUAGAUCGGUGCCGUCUGGCUGACAGCCGUCUUGAACAAUCGGCAACUAGGUUAAUCGCCCUUGGAAACACCAUAAGAAUGUCUGCACACAAAUACGUGGAUCACCCGGCGAGUUGCCAUGUUAAAAAUGGACAAACAUUAGGCUAUGUUUGGACACAAAGUAUUUUUUAAACCAUGGUAUUUCAAAACCACAGUAUUAUUUGCCUGUGCAAAGAAUACUACGGUUUGUAGAAACCACAAUUUUUCUCAGUUUUACCAAAACUACCAGGACGUUUGGUCGUGCUGUAUUUAUGCCGUAGUUUUUAGCUCACCUAUAUGCAUGCAGGUAGACGUCGGCUGCAACUACCGAGCUAGCUUGAAGGUAGUCGUUAGCUUUAGAACAGUGUGCACUUGAUCAAUCCUAUAGAAAGGGAAGCCAUUGUUGUUGCUGUGUUGAUCGUGAAAGCAUCAGGAGGAGGAGCAACAUUAUACAGUACCAAUUCAAAUUUGCUCGCCAUCAUAUAGUCUGAAUAUCAUGAAUAAAAUUUGCAUAGCAUCUGUUUUCAGAAGUAACCAAUCACCUCACAGUAAUUAAAAACCCUGGUAAUUCUAGAAACUGUAGUAUCGUGAAAAUACUGAAAAAACAAACUGAGCUGCCAAACGAGACAAAGGAUUGUUUGGCAUCGCACAAGGCAAGCACAGGGUUGAUCCAACGGAAGUCUUGAUUGCCCGGCCGGACAACGACGAAUGAAGCGUGCACACAAAAAGAAUCCCCAUUUGUUAAACAAGAGGAAAUAGGGAUCAUGUUUAUACAUAUAGGCUAGAUUAUGUCGAUCAUUGAUUGUGGUGAGUUAAGCACUAUUGAAAAACAACAUAAAAAUCUGUUAAUUGUUCGGUUAGCUGCACAAAUGCCCUGGGUCGCCCAGCUAGUUGCCGGGUGAAAUAAAAAAAAAAGCAAAUUAGAUGCCACGGUGAAACUUCAGAAAACAUAAUACUGCACGGAUACAUUAGGAGUUAACAACAAAAAUCCUCUGUCAAUAAUCAAAUACUCUCUACGUGAUUUAAAUUUGUUCAAAUACGGAUGUAUUUAUGUCUAAAAAACGUCAGAUACAUGUAAUAAAGAGUCACUUUAAUAUGAAACGGAGUGAGUAAAGGAUAGCCACGAUUACACUAAGCAGAAAUAAAUUGCUCGUUAGUACUCUCACGCUGACCGUCAGCGAUCGAUCGAGCUAGGCCGUCCUCCGCGCGCCUCCGAGCAACUCGACGAAGAAGUCGACCUCGUCGCCGUCCUCCAUGUUGAAGUCAGCCGGGGUCUGCCAGCCCUUCAUCCGUUUGCCGUCGACGAAGAACCGGCCCGUGUUGCGAUCAACGCCGGGCAUGCUGCGGUAGUAGAAGUCGAACAGGCUCUGCAGCUGGUCGGUCAUCCGCAUGGUGUAGUGGACCCUGAACCUGUUGAGGUCCUGCACCUUGAUCGUGAUGAGCCCGUCGCCGUCCUUCGCCUCCCCCUUGACGCUCCGCGCCGGAGUGAUCCACAUGGUCGGCGGAUCUGCACGGUCGGUGGGGUUCGUGUGUUGUUGUGUUUUUCUAGGUUUCGUGGGAGCGGCGGCGCCCAGAUCGGAGAGUUGUGUAUAUAUAUGGUCGCAUCCUCGUUAAUUCCAACGCUGACUGUGGGACAGGACUCCAGGCAUUCUCGUUCUCUGUGGUUAUGUCCGGUAAUCUCGGUGGCACAAGUAGUAAUUCAAAGAGACCGCUGCUGCCUAUUCUCAUUUCUCAAGGUGCAUGCGAAUCAAUCCCCGGGGUCAUGGGAAGUUAACUUCAAGUUUUAACUGUCUGUUGUUUUCUGAAGCUGGUCUGUUCAACGUGUUUGGUCAGGAAAACGAAGCAAAGCGAUUCCCCAAGACAAUAGGGGCCCACAUGUAGGCUAACUCACCGAAUCCCGUGGCACAACAUUGAUCCCGAGCGAAACAAAUAGGUUUCCCAGGAUCAGAGGGCUAGUUGAUCGGAAUUAGAUGGGUUAGGGGCCGAAAACCUAGGAUUAGGAAGUGGGGUUUUGAUUCAGACAAGUUCUACAAAGUCAGGGUUUAAAAUAGACUUUUGUCUCUAAAGAAAAUGAAGCACCGUCUACAGCAUAAACCGGGCAGCCCCAUACCCCAAACUAAUAGCCAUCCAUCGCCUCUUGGCCCCCUUUGUGCCCUUUGCAUUGUGCCUGGGGCAGCUACACACCUUAUUUAGGGAGGAACCAUCACGCCAGCGCUAGUCAUCAUAAUAUUUUUGAUGCUGAUGCUGGUUGCCGAUGGUGGAAGCGAUGGGUGCUAGGGGUCGACCCACAGAGGGCGGCCGGUGCUGGAGAUCGUUUGACGGACGGUGGUGAUUGUUGUUUGCUCACUCGGUCCCGAUUUAAGUGAUGCAGGAGAAAAAGAAAUUGAACUAAAAACCGUUUUACAGAAACACACUUUACAUUUCAGACUUUUAAAAAUUCAAGGCUCUUUACUCCAUCGCUAAAGGUCACACGGGAGGCUGUGAAGAGCGCAUAAAAGAUUUCAUAAGAGCUCACUGACCGGACAUGCCUAGAUCAACAACGUCAUUGCUAGCACGUGGAGCACAAUAGCACAUAAAUGCGGAACAUCCACCAAUCAUCAGCACACGCCAACGAACCCACACCAAACCCAGGGAUCGAGACAACUCCAAGGAGAUCACGACACCAUUUAUGUUGCCUCUGCCAAAUCGAAGGGGUUUCACCCAAGAGUUUUCACCCUAGAGAAAAUCGGUAGGGAUGUAGGGCCCCCCUCAAUGGAACCUCCAAGGAGGGGACCGCCGUCGUGCCCACCAAGCUGACCAAACGUUUCUCCCGGACAAAUCACACCCCCCUCCCCCCCUCCCCCCCCCCCCCCUCACAAACAACAGCACCUCUGCAUCAUCAAAACCAAGGACCCAAGGUUGCCAAGAUCUAGAUCUGGCGACGGGUUAACGAAGCAAAAACACUAUAGAUCUAGCACGCGGGGGUAAGGGAAGGGAGGCUACGGAGAAGCGCACAAUCAGCACCACCUGACCUCUCAGCCUGCAUCUGCACUCUCCACACAUCUGAGAGUCGUCGCCGGCUCUCCACCCAAGGUUGCCUUCAUAUUUAGCCGUUCACACAAGUGGCAAUAUCCUCGCCGCAACUGUUAUCGGCGGCCGCAUGAGCUUCUUGCUGUUACUCUGUUGGCGACAAGGAGGAGCAGGGAGAAAAGACGGCAACAAUGGCUAGGAUUUCACCCUCAAUUUUCCUGUGUGGGGCGACAUAAGGACCCGAAAACACACAAAAAAAAUUGGUGGGCAAGAACUAAGACAUCAAUGGUGGCUUUCAUGUGAGAUAAACUUCAAACGGAAACUUCAAGGGUCACUGGACAAAAAUAUAUGAGAAAGUAGAUGCCAAGGUGAAAAAUAUGGAACCAUAAUACUACGCAGAAAUACUAGGAACACAAAGCUGUCCUCUAUGAGUAAUCAAAUAAACAAUAGCCAUGAUGACAGUAUGCAGAAAUAAUAUGCUCUCGGGGAUCGAGCUAGACCGACCUCUGUGCGCCUCCCAGACACUGGGUGAAGAAGUCCACCUCGUCGCCGUCCUCCAUGUUGAAACCAGACGGCGUCUGCCAACCUUGCAUCCUUUUGCCGUCGAGGACGAACCGACCAGUGUUCAGAUCAAGAUCAGCCAUGCUACGGUAGUAGAAGUCAAACAGAUUCUGCAACUUGUCAGUUUUCCGCAUGGUGUAGUAGAUCCUGGACCCGUUAAGGUCCUGCACCUUGAUCCUGAUGCGCCCGCCAUCCUCCCUCUCCCUCUUGACGCCUCGCGCCGCCGUUGUGGUCGAGAGAGACGACAUACUACCGGAAGUAAUAUUGAGCGUGUUGGCCGAUUUGCUUUGAGCAGGAGGAGUGCCCGACGCCCUGGGUGAGCUAAUAAAGGGGCGGUGAUUUAAUUUCGGCGACAGCUAAGGAUCAUAUUUCUAAGUUUGAGAGAGACCGUCUUACAUGCUGCACAUGAGUUGGGCUCGUUGUAAAAUAGGCGGUCCAUUAAUGGGACCCACAUGUCAGUGACCAUGUGUCAGUGUGCAAUAUGUGAGAGGAUCCUCCUCUGAUUUUCUAGUUUUGUUUUUCCCUGGUACAACUCAUCGUGGUUGGAUGCAUCAUCGUAAAUUACAGCUGGCCAAUUCCUUUUGUAAAUUUUCAAUUAAAUGCACCGCGUUGUCGAUUUGUAGCCAAGUAAUAUCUAAUUUUAGGAACUUAACUAAUGUUUUCCUUAUAUUUGUAGCGAGGAAAAGAUAUGUGCGCUGACUAGCAAGGUGACGUAUCCAAUGCACACUAUACAUGUGGACCAUCGGAUGUAAGACGUGCGGUGCAGAUCAAAAGUUAAAAUCAAGAAACACAAGUAAACACGUUUUUCACAUAAUCCCAUGUACUUAUCCCGCGAUUAGUAACACUUGAUUCCAUGCCAUACGAGGCCCGUCGAUAUAGCGUGAUGUGGGCAAGACCCACGCAAGGACGACGAAGGCAUCAUCAAACACGAAAGGGAAACAAACGUCUAGGUUUGCACCAAGUGGUCCAUCGGCCUCAGAGAUAUUUUUUUCCUUUUCUGUUAUGUCUCAAGUUUGUCAAAAAUGUGAUGUAUCUAAACAUGACGUAGUGUAUAGAUGCAUUCAAAUUUAGUCAAAGUUGAUACAUCCUUUGUUGGACGGAGUAAGUAAUGGAUUUCGGAAAUAGAUUUACCAUUUUUAUAAUAUUUUCAAAUAUAGGUUAAAUUAAGAAUAAGCUCCAAAAAUAUUGAAAAUUUGCAUGGGCUCAGUAGAGACCUGUGUAAAAUUCUUAAAGUCAUUGGUCUGAUUUUACCAGAAAAAAUUAUUUGGGGUCUAAUUAGGGUAUUUGCCUCCUAUAAAAAUUCUUAUUUCUUAGCCUUUUCAUAAUGCAUAAAUGGUGAUAUGAAUGCAUGCUUAACCUUCAUAACCUUAUUCACUCUUUUAGGAUCUUUACAAGGUCUUCUGGACUCCGCCGGUAUAAACAUAGAGCUCUUUUGCGGCGUUAGUCAAUAGAGAUUUCUUUUGUGGUACCCUUAACAUAUAGACCCUCCAUUUUCCUCAUCGAAGGGUCCACGUGAAUCUAUAUUGGGGUCUCCCUGAGCCAACUGUCAUGCUUUCCGAGGCGAGCAGUAUGACUUAUGGGCGAAAUCGGAAUUCCACCUGUCCGUUAACUCGGCCCAGCUGGCCCAAGCAGAGGAGAAACACAGCCUUCGUGUUUGUACAUCGGUUGCCUAGCAUGGAGGUGGGAGCUGCUUGGGUUUGGCGAACGGGCCAGGGUUUCCGUGACCGCCUUGACGAAUUAAGAAUGGGCCGGAUAAAUGGGCCCAUUGGUACCGUGCAGCGAUACCUUUGCGGAGGAAAAAUAUGUUUCGUGGAGAAAAAAAAAACAACGGAUCCCACUCCAGCAUUGCUCCACUUCACCAGCAGGGUCAACUCCCCAACUUGGCAGCCGCCCGUAAUGGCGUCGCUGCCGGAAUUCGACCCGGCGGACGCGGCCGCCGGCCGUGGCCUCAUCGAGCGCCUCACCACCGACGCCGCGGCGCUCCAGCGGGACCUCCUCACGCAGAUCAUCACGCGGAACGCCCACACCGGGUACCUCCGUCGCUUCCUGGGCGGUCUGCCACCCGGCGCGUCCGCCGACGACCUCCGGGAGGCCUUCAAGAAGAGCGUCCCCGUAUCAGGGUACGAGGACGUCAAGCCGUACGUGGACCGCGUCGCCGCCGGGGAGCCGUCGGACAUCGUCUGCUCCGAGCGUAUCACCCACCUCCUCAGAAGGUAAACCCCGUCCCUGAGGUGUGUCCGGCCUUAUGUAUAGAAAUCGAUCGACAAAUUGUUGUGCACUUGUUUCUCACGGUGGAAUUUUGCCGACGAGCGCUCGCGGACGCAGCUCGGGCACAUCUGGGGGACAGCAGAAGCUCUUGCCGUCUACAGAGGAGGAGAUCGACCGGAAGGCCUUCUUCCAGGCUGUCCAGGCGCUAGUGAUAAACAUGUAAGCAUAGGGUGGCUGGGUCUUGUUAAUUAUCCCUUUGGAUAAAUGUUUCUUUACCAACUGGAGUACGUCUGUGUAAUUAUCAUGUGCACGAGGUUUAAGAGUGCACAAUUUAUCUGCUGCUGCUGUUGUAGGAGUAUAAUCUAAGCAUCGGGUGUACAUUGUUUUAGGCAUCUGCACGCUGAUAAGGAUAAAUGCGGCAAGGGGAUGUACCUCAUGUUUGCCUUUCCUGGAGAUCGGACCUUGUCAGGCUUGCCUGUCCAGUGAGUCUUACUGCAUACUACCACAGCAGCCAGUUCCAGGACCGUGACUUUAGCGAGUUCGACAGGUGCACAAGUCCCAUAGAGGCGAUUCUCUGCCCAGAUAGCAAGCAGAGCAUGUACUGCCAGUUGCUGUGCGGCCUGGUUCAACGCAGAGAUGUAGACCGUGUUGGUGGCACCUUUGCUAAUAGUUUUGUUAGAGGUAUCAAUUUUUUGGAAUGUAACUGGAAGGAGAUGUGCGAUAAUAUCCGCAGUGGGCAUCUCAGUGACUGGAUCACACACGAACCUUUGCGUGUUGCCAUCACUGAACGUUACCUGCAAGUACCUGACCCAGCACUAGCUGAUGAGAUUGUAUUGGAGUGCGCCAGGAAGCCUUGGGAUGGGAUAGUGAGGAGGCUCUGGCCAGGAGCACGAUAUAUCCGGACUGUUGUUACCGGCUCGAUGUCACAGUACAUUCCAAUUCUUGAGAGUUAUGGUGGUGGGACACCAUUUGUCUCGCCCUUGUAUGCAUGUACAGAGUGCGCCCCAGGUGUCAAUCUAAAGCCUCUUGAUCCACCUUCCUGUGUGUCAUAUGCAUUGCUUCCAAACAUUGCCUACUUUGAGUUUGCGGAGAUCACACAUGCUGAUGAGGAAAAGGUACAGAGAACUAAUGGUUUUGAUGAUAACUUGGUUGAGAUAAAGCUUGUGGAUCUUGUGGAUGUCAAAAUUGGCCGGCGCUAUGAGCUGAUUGUCACCACAUUUGCAGGUCAGCCGUUGGGCUACUCCUUAUCAUCUCCUAUCUGCAUAUAUUUUUUUCACAUUUCUUGUAGCUGUGUUGGUCAUCAUGAUAUAUCUCUGAUCGGUUUAUUUUCCAAACGCAUGAUUAGUGUUAAGAACCCAAUCGAACUAGCACUUUAUUGUGUCAUGCUUAUCCAUUAAGUACACACUAAAUGAUAUUGGCAUCCUACUAAUAUAAUAAUUUACUCAUGCUUGUGUAAGAUGAUUUAUUUUAUUUGCAUAGCUUGGUGGAUUUGCUAUGUUAUAAAGUUUACAAUCAAGGAUUUCAUUAAGUUCUGAAAAAUAAUAGGAAGAACUUGUGGUCCAACUUGCCUCAGAAUAUGGGGUGAAUAUGUUUUGAGUUCACAUCUUGUGCAUACCAGGUCUUUACAGAUACCGAGUUGGUGAUAUUUUUACGGUGAGUGGCUUCUACAAUGCAACACCACUGUUCCACUUCUCAGGACGGCAUGAUGUUUUGUUAAGCAUAGACUAUGAGAAGAUAAGUGAGGAGGACCUGCUCAAGGCCAUUUCACAAGCUGACGCGCUCCAUCUUAGGCCUCUUGGUUACAUGCUUGGUGGCAGCACAGCAUAUGCGGACAUAUCUGUGUUGCCUGGCCACUAUAUCCUGUUCUGGGAGCUGGUCAGUAGUGCAAGUCGCAACCAUAUGGCUAGUGAUAUCGAUCGAACUGCCAUGGAGAAUUGUUGUUCGACUGUGGAAGAAUGCUUUGAUGAAAUGUACCACAAAAGCAGACACCGCGGGUCAAUCAGGCCACUGGAGAUAAGGGUGCUGAAACAUGGUGCAUUUGAUGCUCUGAUGGACUUCUUUAUCUCCAGAGGCACAUCAGCCAGUCAGUACAAAACUCCAACUGCUAUUCGAUCGGUAGAAGCGCUGAUGGUGUUGGAGGAGAGGGUAGCAGGGAGGUUCUUUAGCCAGCAAAAUCCAAGCUGUCCUUUGUAUGAAUCCAGAGGAAUUGAUGCUACUGGGCUCGUCCGGACUUGAGAAUGUACUCAUCUGACGGUUCAUAUGGUAUCCCUUGUACGACAAACAUUGUACUACUUAAAGCAGCGCUGUAAGUUUAAAUCCAUGUUGAGAACACAAGAAAUAAGAAAAAGAAAUGUAAGUCUCAAUGUGAGAACUGUAGAUUUGUGAAAAAGAACAUGAACUGUAGAUAAUACAGAUUGGCUGUAAAUUUGGCAAAUUGUCACCGUCAACACUGGAUUGGUAAUUUUUCUUUUGGUCCUCGUGUGGUGUCGAGUUUGGACUCAAAAUAGUGUAGCUUGGUGAAUAGAUGUGGGCCGUGUGGCUAUGAUCUCUGACUCUUCUCAGAUUUUAUCAUCAUGGUAACAUAACUCGGUGUAUCGGGCGCACCAGAGCCACAAUAUUUUGAGACAACCAGGAGAAGGAAAUGCAGAAGAACAUCUUCUUUUCUUUCAGAACUGCAACAGGAACUGGGCAGCAAGAUUAGGGGCCAUGAUAUGACAACCAGCAGUCAGCAGACCAGCAAGUCACUCGUAAAAGCACCACUCGCCUAGUACGCCGACGUCGACGAUCGUGACUACAUCCUACGCGUCCAUCGGCCCCGGAACCCGUCCGGCUGCGCCGCCGAGCAGCUCGGAGAAGAAGUCGACCUCGUCGCCGUCCUCCAUCUCGAGCUCCUCCGGCGUCUGCGCCCCGCCCAGCCUCCCGCCGUCGUAGAGGAACCGGCCCGUGCCGUAGGCCACCGCGGGCGCCACGCGGGCGUAGUAGAAGUCCAUGAGGCCCUGCAGCUUCUCCGUGCGCCGCAUCGUGUGGUACACCGACCGCCCGUCCGUGUCCUGCACCUUGAGCGUCACGUGCACGCCAGGCUUGAUCACCGGCUUCCGGUCCUUCUCCUCUUUCUCCUCCUUGCAACGCACCGCCGCCGACAUCGCCGGUUCGCCGGUGCCUGAUGACCGAUUUCCUCCGGUUGUGAGUGGGUUUUUGGGCUUGGUUUUGUUUUCUGUCUGGUGUUGCGGGUCCUUAUAAAGGCCGUGCGCGUGCUGCAUGGAUGGUUUUAAUUUACCGGGGAUUUGUAACGCCAAAAGCGACCGACGUUUCGGCUGCUCGUCACGUGCUCUGCGCGGGGAAUGAAGCGAUCAAGGUAUUCAUUUGCCACCAAGCGGACAUAAAUUGCACCGGAAUGUGCAUCUCCAAAGCGGCGCCACUGUUAAGUUGCCUGUUGGACUGGGCUACAGGCUCAGGCAGAGUUCUGUAGACUCUUUCUUUUUUCGAAGUACUAAAAGUGUUUGCUUUGAAAAAUGACCCUUCGAUAUCAUCGACUCUAGUUUUACCUUUUUCCAACUUGACAUUUCUCCAAAACUUUGGUGGUGAGUAGAAAGUAUAUGAAAAACAAACAACAACAAAGUCUGAAAAUACUACGAAUGUUGGUUUUUAAGCCAUUCACCAGAGUGGGAUGCUGCUCACGCGUCUAGUCCUGCUUCCAUCUCAGGAAAGAUGGCGCCUGCAGUGUGUUUGGUUGUUUCAUUUUAAAAACUCGAUCACCACGCAUAAAAGACGACAUGGUUCAACUAAAUCACAAAAUAGAUAGGAAGGUGAACAGACGAUGGCAUCUAAAUCCAAGAACAACUACUCUGAACCGCUCACAUGAUCGAGCAAUUUGCCUCCCAACAAUACUAAUUAGCUAGUAGUACGGAGUAACGCUUAAAUGCCCCAUACAGAUAACAAUUCUGACCUACGGAGAUCAAAUUAAUCCCGUCGGCUAGGCGCCUCCUACGCGGAGAUCAGUCCAGCAUCCGACUUCCGGCCUCCAAUCAUGUGUUCGAAGAAAUCGAUCAUGUCGUCGUCCUCCAGCUCGAGCUCGGCCACGGUCUUCUCAGGGCGUAACCGGGAGCCGUUGAGCGUGAACAAGCCGCUGCCGUAUGGGAUGUCGGGCAUCUUGUGGUACCACACGUCCAUAAUGACCUGGAGCUUGUCGGUCAUCUUCAUGGCGUGGCGGACCACGCGCUCCUCGCUCACCACCUUGAGCAUCACCAUCAGGGGCUUCACCGCCGCCUUCGAGUCCUCCUCCUCCGCCUCUUGCCUGGCCGCCGGCGGAGGCAUGGCUAGCUUGAGCUUCCAGCAGUGUGCCUGCUGCCUCGUUGUGGAUGUUUUGCCGUGUGAGCGGUGGAGUGUUGUUGCGAAUGGCUUUGGGAAUGGAUGCGGAGAUCGAGUGCAGGGGCCUUAUAUAUAGGGUCCGAGAAAGCGUCAUGGUUUGAAUGUUUGUUUGACCAUUGCGCGGGUUCCGAAGCAAUUUAUACGUAUCCAGUAGCGAAUUCGAGCCAAAUUCUAGCGCGCGUCUCCACCGGCUCUCCUUGUGAAUCAGCGCGUGUCUGGAUAGAGUGGAACGGAGUAAUUAAGCUGAGUAGUAUUGCUGUUGCGAAUGCCAUGCGUAACUCGGGAAUGCAUUUGGUUUAUAAAGUUAUAAACAGACACGUUUUGCAACAUGAAACUUGGAUUUUCACUUUCUUACAAAUAUACUAUUCCCUACAUCCGACAAAAGAUGUUUCAAGUUUGUCAAAAUUUGGAUGAUGCAUUCAAAUUUAGUCGAAGUUGAGACAUCCUUUGUUGGACGGAGAGAGUAGUAUUGAUGAAAUUAAAAUUUAUAAAAAGUUGAACUCAUUGUUGUAAAAUCAUACUAAAUAUUACGAAAAUCUUUUGAACUACUCCCUCCGUCCACAAAUUAUGAAGUAUUAUUGGAUUUGAAAAUGUAUUGGGAAUAUGAUAACCACCAUCCCUCUUUUUUAAUUUUUUUUACCUCCAGUGAGCUAAGUGGAUGCAUAAAUAUUUUUUGGUUUGACUUCCAUGUGAUGAAAAAGAAAUAUUUUUUAUUAGAACGGACUAAGUCUCGGUCUAUUCUCAGUCGAUGUACCCGGCCGCUCGGCAACCCUCCAUUCCAUCCCUCGAAGCAUCUCCAACAUCAUACUCAUAUUUGGUGCGAAUCCCCACAAACUGUCAAUAUGGUUAUUUGGUCUCAAAAAUUAGUUCCAACAGCAUAACCAUAAAACAAAUUUUUUGGAUAGCUAUCCAUAUUUUGCCUCUCAACGCCCAAAUAUGGGUAUUGUAGACCAGAAUACCCAAAAGACCCAAAACUUGAAGGGAACCCACCUACUGAGAUCCUGAAAUUUCACCCUCUUCCUGCUAGCCGUCCCCACCUCCUGCCCCCGCCGGCGCCGAUUCCGGCGGCUGGAGUUCGCCGCCGCCGUCCCCCAUGCCUCCAGCGGAGCCGCCCGGCCCCUACGCCGCUCCUUGGUGCCUCCGCUGCCGUCGCUGCCCAACUCUUCGCCCUGUGCUCGCCACCGGCCUCGAUGUCUCGUGCUCGCUGCCAUGGCCGUCAUUCUCGUCGAUUCCGGCGGCAGGGACCUGCUCCUGAACUUCCCCGAGCGUUGUCUUCACCCAGCACCAUCGCCCGCGUCUCCGAGCAGCUCCUGUCAUGGCCCAGCACCAUCGUCCGUGCCUCCGAGCAGCUCCCGUCACGGCCCAGCCCCCGCCCGCGCCCUCCCCACCUUCUGCGGCCGCGACCUUCACCCAAUCGCUGCUGUCGCCGCCAAGCACCACCGUUGGCGACGAAUGCCUGCGGAUCCUCCCAAACCCGAGGACGUGUCCCUGUGUUUCAGAUCUUGGUUAAUUUUAUGUACCUGACGAACGAGCGCGCCGCCUCCGCACCUCUCUGCUCGAGGAGCCGUAUCCCCACCAUCCAUACGCAAACCGUACAAACAUAUAUCAGGAUGGAUGCAGGAAAACAAAAAAAAAAGAAGAAGAAAGGGAAACAACAUGAAACCAAAAAAAAAAAAAGAAACAACAAAAAAUGGACGGCAGAAGAUUUGAACUUGCGACUUACGAGUAUGCAACAAUCAAAUGAUACUAUCAACAAGCACUAGAACAAUUAGCUAAUGUUGUCUACAGUUAGUUGUUUCAUUAUUUAACUUGGUUUAGCCUCCCCAUUAACUUCUUAACCCAUGAUCCAACGCCAACGGCGUAGACCAUCGACCGAGAAAUACGAUUUUUCGGAUGACUGAGUACUAGCAAAUCCGAUUUUUCUACUCUAAAGUGUUUUUGUUUGUGGACGGAGAGAGCACUAUCCCGUGUAUUCAGUCUUAGUAAUAUGCUUCUAUUAUUGUACUAUUGCAUAUGACAAAAAUGGUGGAGAGAUUUGGGAAGCGGAAAAUUAACGUGGAGGACGAAUAUCAAACAGUCAAAUGGUUGCGGUGUCAGAAUUUUUAUUUUUAUUAUGUCAUGACCGGUUCUUGCAGCAAACACACUGGACCAAGGUGCUGAUCGAUCGGUUACUUUAGGGAAUACUACUCCGUUUGAAUUUACAGCAAUUAUCUUGCAACCAGCAAACAUGAUGGUUUAAAACCAACUUCAAAUCGAUCACGAGUUCACGACGACGAUCCGAGUUGGAAACACAGCUGAAAAUGGGAACAUCGGAGAUGCAAGAACUACGGAGUAGUAGAUACAGUACUACUACAGAAAUCCGUCCCGCAAUGAUCGAGCAGCAGGAUAGACAUGAAAGACCCUGUCUAGCCGUCUAUGCGCGCGGCGGGCACCGAUCCGGCAGCAACCAUCCCAUGCACAGCCGCCAACCAGCACUUGAAAGAAACCGAUCACGUCCCCGUCCUCUAGCUUGAGAUCCGCCGGCGUGCGCUCGCCGCGCAGGCGCACGCUCUCGAACCAGAAGGAGCCCGUGCCGCGCGCGGGCGACGUCCGGCGCCUCGUCGUAGUACGCGUCCAUGACGGCCUGGAGCUUGCCGUUCAUCCGGAUGGUGCGCCGGACCAGGCGCCGCUCCUGGUCCACAACCUUGGGCGUCACGAACCGGCUGGGAAUGGGGUUCGCCAACGCCACCGUGUCCUGCGCCGUCAGCGCCACGUGUGUGCUGCCGCCGAAGCCAAGCAAGGUGACCACCUUGACCGGCGAGGCUGUGUGUUGGGCUCAUUUUCACUUCAGGUCGAGCCCAGACUUGGCUCGGGCCGCUCGGCAAGCCCAAAGCCCGAAGCAGUUUCAGCCCAGCCCAAUCACUAUCCCUGACUCCCGCAGGCCUGCCGCAGUCCACAGCCUGUGCCAGCCCAUGACUAGUCGAGAGCACAGGCAAGGCCUCCUCCCCGGUCGUUCGUUAGGUUUUCCCAGCUCUGCUGCUCUGGCUGUUGCGGCGCCGGCGCCGCACUGCCCUGCGCCGCGCACGCCCGCCCGCCUCUUGCAGCCGUUCACCCCGCCCGCUGCGAUGCCGAUGGCGACGACCCGGCGUCCUCUUCCUUCCCCCGCGUCAGCAGGCUCGUCAUGGCAGGACCUCCCGUCGGAGCUGCUGGGCCUCGUGCUCUCGCGGCUGCCGUCGCACGCCGACCGCGUCCGCCUCCCCGCCGUGUGCCGCCCGUGGCGGUCCAGCGCGCGUCUGCAGCGGCCGCUACCGCCGCUGCUCCCGUGGCUCGCCCUCACCGACGGCGCCGUCCACCGAUUGCCGGUCGCGGAUGACGACACCGGAUGAUUCUCCACUGGCAGCACGCUCUUCCUCGUGCGCGGCGACGGCAGAUGCUCCCUGAUGAACCCUUUCUCCGCGGCGGCGACGACCCCUCUGCCCGAGCUAACCGACUAUGUCCCUGUAACCGACUGGAUUGCAAGAAAGCCACACUUCCGGUACCGGAAGGUGUUAGUUUCGUCCGGUCGCCAUCGCCUCGUCGCAGUUCUGGUCCAGUUCCACCGCACCGGCACCUCCAAGAAACUCAUCUUCCCUACUCGUGGGCGGCAAGGGCUAAGCACGAUGAUGGAUUGGGCACCGCCUCAAGGCAGCUUCAUCAGAGACACAUUGCGCUCUUCCAAGGCAAGAUCUACAUCCAAACCACCACGGAAGCGCAAUAUCAACAUGAGCUCCAUGUCCUCGACGCUGGUGGCCAGCAGACAACCACGCUGAAUGUCAAAACCGUUCAAUGCAUACGCAGUAUCCCGAAGGAUCAUGGUGACGACUGACGAGGAAGGGGAAGCAUGGUUCAAUCCUUACGCGACUGAUUAUUACUUGCCUCGGUGCUAUCUCGUCGCUUCUGGCGAUCGGCUGCUGAUGGUGGAACGAAAGAUCAAUCUGCCGCCGAUGAUGCCGCGAGACUCUGGGAUUCAGAAGCGGACUCGCAGGUUCCAGGUCUUUGAGGCGGCAGACCUGAGCAGCGGCUGUGGACGAUGGAUGGAGGUUGAUACUUUGAUGGGACGUGCGCUCUUCGUCAGCGAACGCUGCUCCGAGUCGCUCCCUGCCGGUGGCGCAGUUCGUGAAGAUUGCAUAUACUUUAUGAAUGAGGAAAACACGGCCGGGGGGAAUCAUGAGAAUCCGCUUCUCGACUCCGGUUUCUACAACAUGAGAGACCGAACAGUGACACCGUUGUUGCUGGAGACGUCCGCAACGCCCGCAGCAGGUGACGGUCCUUGGCCACCGGCUUGGUUUUUCCCUAAAACCUGAUUUAAGGUGGUUCCGUUACAUGGUAAUACUAUCGAUUGGGGUUUUCUUCAGUAUCUGAUGCUCAUAUAUUCAUUUUAGUACAUUUAAAUGUGACUAUAUGCAUCAGGAGAUGCAAAACCGGAAGGUUCUUUUUACUCACUUUUUUUCACAACUAGUUGGGAAACAGUUACAAAAUUAUUUCGAAACCGUUAAAAAAUCAUUUCUCAAUAUAUAUCUAACAGACAUAGAAUGGAAUACAAAACUUAGGAAAUAUGUGAAUACAAAGAUGCGUUUGCCAACAUAUGUUAUGUGUGACAUUAUUUUGACAUCAUGUGACACCUUGACAUAAACUUGAUGAUGAUGUUUGCCGUAAUAUGAUGGUCCUAUAUCAGGUGACUCCUAAGUCAUAAAACUUAAAAGCAGCAUUGUCCUGUACAAACAAAAGGCAGUAAUCCACUUCUGAUUUAUAAGGCAAAACUUCAUUCUGGGAUUGGUUUGUCCUUUGUCGGAAGUGAUACAUGGGAGUAGUGACCUCAUUCUGCAUUAUGUUCAGUCUUCCACCAUCCAAAUUAUUGUCAGAAUGAACUUAAGCAUAGGUGACUACAUCAUCACCACCUCACUUCGUUUAAAAUAAAAGAGAAUGUUUACAUAUACUUUGUGAACGAGGAAGAGACGCUCCAGAGGAAUAAUGAAAAUCCGUUUCUCGACGCCGUUGCUGCCAGAGACGGCCACAACGCCCGCAGCAGCAGGUGAUGAUCCAUGGCCUGCGACUUGGUUUUUCCCUAAAACGUGAUUUAAGGUGAUUACGAUUACAUUAAGCAGGGAUACUAUCAAUUAGGAUUUUCUUAGUGUAAUACUCUGUAUAUAUAUUAGUUACUUCUUCCGUUUCAUAAUUCUUGUCUUAAAUUUGUUAAAAAAUGGAUGCGUCUAUUCCAAAAAAGUGUCUAGAUACAUAUAAUAUUUCGACAAGAAUUAUGGAAUGGAAGGAGUAGAUACUUAGAUGAACCUGAAGUAAACAGAGAGAAAAACAUGUAUAACCGGGGAGUGUGUUCGCACCUUCUAUCUCUAUUAAAUUAAGGGUUACAACUUACAAUGAUCGGAGGAGUACAACAUUAUAUCUCAAUAUGGACAUCAUUUACUUAUUCACAUUCCAACGAUAUAGAUCUAACAGGCAUAGAAUAAAAACCGUAGGAAACAUGUGAAUACAAAGAUGUGUUUGCCAGCAGAUGUUAGCAUGUGACAUUAUUUAGACAUCGUGCAUGCUGACGUCUCAACACGAACUUGAUGAUGUUCACUGUGACAUGAUGGUCCUCCAUCAGGUGACUCCGAAGUCAUAAAACUUGCAGCAGCAUUGCCCUGUAAUUCACUCGCUGACUUUUAUAAGGCAAAACUACAUCCUGGGAUUGGUUUGUCCUUUGUCGGAAGUGAUAUGUCCAGUCUUUCACCAUCCAAAUUAUUGUCAGAAAGAACAUAAGCAUAGGCGACCGUACUACAUGAUCACCACCUUACUUCGCUUGAAAUAAAAGAAAUGCCUGCAACAUAUGUGAGGUCUGAUAUUCAAAUAGCAUCCCAUUUCGAAAUCGAUAUAUAGAAUGUCAAUCUCGCUCUACCACCAACGAAGGGAGAAAUAGUGGAUUUGUAAGAUGGCUCAGACAACAUGCCAUUCAUAUAGCGCAGUGUCAAAUUAAGAAUUGUUCAGUUUGUGAAUCCAUUGCGACCCCCAAUGGUGCAUUGGUGCCCCCGAAAGGGUCUCCACUCUCCGGUCUUUAGGCCUGUUUGUUUGGGUUUCUGUUUCAGUUUUUGGUGUUUCUAACAAUCUCAAAAACACUUCUCAGCACCUCCGGACGUGCUUCUCAGCUAGAAGCACCAAAAGCACGUCCGGAGGUGCUUCUCAGCUUCAUCUGUAAACGGGAGAAAUGCUUUUGAGAUUGCUAAAAACACCAAAAGCUGAAGCAGAAGCCCAAACAAACAGAGCCUUAAUCUUGCUAGUGACCUGUGAAAUAUGAAAAGAGCGGAACGUCAAGGUCUUCAACAACGUCUACAUAAUACCUCUGUUGCUCCUCCAGUGAAUCAAAGAAGAGGGCCACGUCUGGGCACUGGCCGGUGCGAAGCACCUUGCAAAUCUCAUGUCCUGAAGUUGUAUUCCUUAUAUUUUUGGCCUUGGCCUACUUGUUUCGCUCAUAUGCUUAUGUUUCACAUAUACUUUAUGAACGAGGAAGACACGUUCAGGAGGAUCAUCAGAAUCUGCUUCUCAACUCUGGCUUCUACAACAUGGGAGACCGAACAGUGACGUUGUUGCUUCUAGAGACAGCCGCCACGGCAGCAGCAGGUGACGGCCCUUAGCCUUGACUUGCAUUUUCCCUAAAACCUGAUUUAAGGUGGUUUUAUACGUGGGGUUGGACGCUUUCCCUCUUUUUUGAAGAAAAAAUUAUGUUAAUAUUGUCGAUUAAGAUUCAUCUUACUUCUUUGAUGUGCAUAUAUUCAAUGUGAUACAUUUUAAUUUGGUUGUACACAUGAAGUUUUUGCGGGAAAAAUAAUGUGCAUUUGAAUAUGCAAAGAUCCAAAGGUUUUGCCAAUUCUUUUCAAAAAUAAUAUGUUGCAAUCCUUUUCCAAAAUGCCAACCAAAGCCUAGAAGAUGAAGCCCCAUAAAAAAAAAAUACUAGCAUCGCAAAAAAAUCAAGGAGAUCAAGAGACAACCAAGUAGUUCGAGCUCAGUCCACAACAGUGGGAGAUCUAAGGGAGACACAUGAAUCCUUGUCAUGCUCUGUUUUUAGGUGAACUACGGUGGGCAUGUACAAGAUUAAACCAUUUCAAUUAAAUGAAAUUUUUUGGAAUACAAAGAGUUAGAAUAACGGAUAAAACAACCACACCACCACGGAUAAAUGGAAACACAAACAUAACCCCAUGCCAUAGACUCUUCAAGCCAGCUACUCGGAGAGGAGCGCAUGCAUAAAAUAUUGAAGGCAUCACUAUACUGAGACCACACGAUGAACAACGAUGUUCCCGGACAUAGUCGAGCAGCACUGCCCAGUCAAAAAGCAUGACAAUUACGUCGACCUCACUAUAGUACAAGCACAACCACCACCGGAGUGGCCGGAAGAACAUGCAAAUUGAAUGUGCAUAUCACAACAUGUAAAGCAAACAUAUGUGAAAGGCAAUGCGCAACCAUAACGAGGACCUAGUGGAAUCCAAGGCAAUGACACAUCCCAGCCAUCAUGUUUGGCGACAUCAUGGAAGGGAAAUGGGAGUUUAGAGGAGUUAGUUCAUAAAAUAUUAGAGAAAAAAAAUUGACUUUUAGUUCCAAUCCUGUGUUAGGUAUGUGUUGAAAAAUACACAUAAAAAUAGAUGAGAAAAACAUUCCUAUUUUUGGUUGGAAGGACUUCACACGGAGUUACCUUAGGCAAAAAAAACAUACAUUGUAUGAUCGAUCAAGAUCACCUCUACCAAACAAUUUUCUCUGAAUUCAAAAUUUCCUUCUUAUUAAAACAAAUUUUCUAUUUAGAAAUUGCCUGUUUUUUGUUAGCGAUCAGUCGACGUGCUUGGCCGUUGGAUCUUAAUCCAACAAUAGCACGUGGGACGGGGGAGAGUGCUCAGAUCUUAAUCCGAUGGUGCCGAUACUUCAACUGAGAUUUAAGUCAUUUUCCUUAAAAAUCAGGCGACUGAAAAAUAGCCACAUGCUUAUAAAAAUUGUUGGAGUUGGCUUCACAAAUAUCCACCGACCCAGCAUUUGUUCUCUCUCUACUUCACAUCACGGUACGUACUGCUCUGUUCGAGAAACUCCACUUUAUCCACACAAACCGAUGGAUCAGAUCAUCUUCAGGCUUACUCUUGUAUAGUAGACUGAGUGGAUCGGGAAGUGCCAGAGCACCGGGGUUGCAAAAAAAUACCGUUGGGUUACCGCCCAAAUUUUUCCCAACUAACUUUAACUUAUUUAUUUCUAUAAAAGAUAAUUUUAUUUUGAAUUCCUCCAAAACAUAAUCAUAACACAACAAUCGUUCACUUAUUUUAUGUAAUUUAUCGCCUUUAUCCGUAUAGUAAAUGAUUGAAUUAAAAUUAGUACGGAGUACUAAUAAAUUUCGAUUUCUUUCUGUAAACUCAUUUACAGGGGUCUCGCGUGGGAGAUGAUGACCCAUUUGCCCCUGAAAAAAAAGGAGCACGGCCGCACGGGGACGACCGGACGACUCGCCCGUCCCAGUUCAUCAUCCCGUUCGUUCGCCUCCCGCUCCGGUGGGCUGCCAGCGGCCAGCGCCGAGGAGAAAUCGGCGAGAAGGGCAGGUAAACCCCAGUCUCCCCUCUCAUUUUCCUUCUUCUCUCCUACAUACUCCCCUAGGUUUCUAUUGAAUAAAUGUCUUUGAAACCCUAGGUUUGUGAGAUGCAAUUUGACUGAAAUUGAGAGAGAGUGAAGAUGGUCCUCGGGAAUGACCACCAUGGACAUACCUGUGACCUUUCUUUGCGGCAAGGGCAUGAUAAGGACUCGCUGGUCAGGGAAGGCCAGGACGGGGAAGGCCAUCACGGUUUCGGCUUGUUGGAGAACCAUGAGUUGGUGCUCGCCGAGCCGCAUUCCCUUGUCGACGAUGAUAAUCUUGAUGAGCUCUCGCUGGAGCAAACCCAUGAAUUCGCCCUCCAGCCGGCCCAUGACUUGUCGCAGGGCCUUCUUGCCGUUGCCCCACGGAUGAUGGCCUUUAGCACAGAGUUUCAGCUCGUGGCCGGGCAGGAAUUUCCAAAUGUCAUGUACUGCCGCAGGGCCAUCCGCAACACUGCCAUUGCCUGCCACUUUGAGAUACAAAUGGUCAAGUCUGACAACACAAGCUUCACUGCUAAGUGUACCGCGGAGGGCUGCCCAUGGCAUAUUCAUGCAGCAAAGCUUCCUGGAGUGCCUACUUUCUCCAUCAGAACUAUACUUGACAACCAUAGUUGUGUGGGUAUAAACCAUCUUGGUCAUCAGCAGGCGUCUGUUCAGUUGGUUGCAAGUACUGUCGGAGAGAGGCUGCCUGAGAACCCACACUGCAAGCCCAAGGAAAUUUUGGAAGAAAUCCACAAGUCAAAUGAGAUCACACUACCGUACAAGCAAGAUUGGAUAGGGAAAGAGCGCAGCAUAGCAGCAGUUCGAGGGUCUUUUGAAGAAGGAUAUCGACUCCUGCCUGAGUACUGCAGGCAGGUAGAAAGAACAAACCCGGGAAGCAUCGGUCGUGUCUAUGGGAACCCGGAUGAUAACCGCUUCCGGCGACUCUUCAUAUCGUUCUAUGCAUCAAUAUACGGUUUUGUGAAUGCAUGCUGUCCGCUCAUUGGGCUUGAUAAAGUUACUCUGAAAAACAAGUAUGUUGGCACCUUGUUUAUUGCCACUGCUUUCGAUGGUGAUGGUGCUCUCUUUCCUCUGGCAUUUGGCGUGGUUGAUGAGGAAACUGAUGAGAACUGGAUAUGGUUUUUGUCUGAGCUGCAUGAGUUGCUGGAGAAGAACACAUUGAGCAUGCCAAGGCUCACCAUCUUGUCAGAUAGGAGCAAAGGUAUUAUUGAUGGAGUCGAUAUCAACUUCCCAGCUGCAUUCCAUGGUUACUGUAUGCACCAUCUCAGUGAAACUUUCCGAAAAGAGUUCAACAAUUCAGUGCCUGUCGACCUUCUAUGGGAAGCUGCCAAUGUGCUGACUGCGAUAGAUUUUGAAACUAAGCUUCUGGAGAUAGAGGACAUCUCACAAGAAGCUGUUUGUUGGAUAAAAGGCAUACGUCCUUGCCUUUGGGCCACAGCUUUCUUUGAUGGGACACGGUACGGUCACUUAACAGCAAAUGUCACAGAGUCUCUAAAUUCUUGGAUACUGGACGCAUCUAGCCUUCCCAUAAACCAGAUGAUGGAGUGCCUCCGGUGCCAGCUCAUGACGUGGUUCAAGGAACGUCAUGAAGCGAGCAUGCAGUGGACAGCUACUCUUGUGCCCACAGCUGAGCGCCGCUUGCAGGAGGCCAUUGAGCGGGCACGAGGCUACCAAGUUACCCGUGCUAACGAGACAGAAUUUGAGGUCAUCUCACCUCAUGAGGGGACAAAUGUCGUGGACGUCCGCAACAGGUGCUGCCUAUGCCGUGGGUGGCAGCUCUAUGGCGUACCCUGCGCCCACGGCGUGGCGGCGCUCGUCUCCUGCAGGCAAAACGUCCACCGCUACACAGAGAGGUACUUCACCAUCGGGACUUACCGCAAGACAUACUCACAGACCGUACACCCCAUCCCGGACAAGACCCUCUGGAACAAGAUGUCCAACCAAGGAGAGGCUGAGGAGAGCAAGCUGGAGGUGAUCAUCAACCCGCCCAAAUCGCGGAGGUCCCCCGGUAGGCCGAGGAAGAAGAGGGUCCAUGCAGAGGACCACGGGCAGGUCAAGCUAUUCGUGCACUGCAGCCGCUGCAGCCAGAUGGGCCAUUUCAGAACCACCUGUCCUGCUGCCCUAUGAACUCUGAAGCAAGCAGCUGCUGCAUUUUGCUGUGAAGAGAAGUUUAGAAAUCAGUGUCUACUGUGCAAACUUCCUGCUUCUAGAUUAGUGUUUCUUUUGUUAUACUAGAACAUAUACCGCUGUUGACUUAGCUGUGAUGAUUUAAUAGUGUUAUUUAACUUGUGUUUGCCCUGCUAAACCCCGGGAAAUAUAAGAGUAACUACGUGGCACCCCAGAAUCAAAUAUAGCGUGUUGUUGGUGCGACAGUGAUGUUGGUGUGCAAGCUGUGGUGAAACCUGAAGCGUUUGUCAAGCCGAUCUAGUCGAUUUGCCAAAUGUAUGCCUUUUCGUUGCAAAACAUACAAGAGGAAAUGUCAGAUGACAACCAUUAGUCAAUCAGAUUUAUCUACAUUAAAAUAGGAUUUAUAAACAAGUGUAGAGUUCUUAUGAAUUCUGACCUGCAGCAGCUUAAAACGCAUAGUAUAACAGAAUUCAACUGCCACAAAACUGAGCCUAAGUUGGCACAAAGUCCCGCUCCUUCGUUGCCGUCGAUUUUUUCAUAGACUAGCAAGUGUAAUACUAAACUAUUAAAUUUUUCAUCCAAGAUCCACCAUCUAGAUGGAAUUCUAAAUUAAUAAUACAAAGGCAUCAGCUUUUGACAAAAUUUUCUACAUACAAAUAAUCUGCCCAUCAUUUACAUGCUACAGCAAUGAUUAGUACAAGAUCUUCAAGGCAGAGUUCAUAUGGUAGCUGUCAGCUGAGCUUCAGCUACCUGUGGCUUCUGGGAGGAGUCUAAUCCGGGGAACUGACCAAUGUCAUGACCUUCUACUCGGUUUAAGCUGUCGUCCAAACCGAUCGCAAACUCCUCAGGUCUUUCUCCACAGCUCGCAAAGUAGUCAGCGACCUGUUUUAAGAUAUUCAAACCAAGAUCUUAGCACCAAACCAACUGAACUCAGAUAGCUGGAGCUAGUUUAUUAACUACAAAGCUUGAGAUGUUCUGCAGUUUGUAGAAUGAUGAAAGAAAGAUCAAAGGGUGGCAGAAUUUACAUGAUCUCCAAGAGAAAUUCCACUCAAUACCGCCGCUUCUAUACUGGAACCUGUGAGCCAGUCACCACAUAUGCCUGCUCGACCCUGGGGAUCAAAUAUGCAUGGUACUCCUGGAGUGUUCAUCGGUAAAGCUGCACCCCUGUAUUUGCAGGUAUGAAUUCAUCAUUGUCUAUUAUUGAAAUAUCAAAUAGUAACAGGUAUGAAAUGUUCAAUUUGUGUGUUUCUAUACCACAACUGCACUCUUGUGUAAAAUGGUAGCUGAAGAGAUCCUUUUGAGAGCCCCAAAGCAAGUUCAACUCCCCCAAGCAUUUCUCGUUGCACUUUCUCUGCGGUGGCAUUCGGGAUAUUUUCCUACAGUUCAAUGGUUAAAUGCGUUAAAGAAUUCCAUAAAAACUCUUGGAAACUCCAUCUUGGCAUAUGACCUCCCAAUUAACCAUAAUAGUGCAUGGUGCAACCAAAUGAUACAACAAAAGGUAUUGAAUCUCAUAAAAAUGCCCACCUGUGGAACUUUGUUUCUUCUUCCGUAAGAAGCGGUGCUAAAAAAUGUCCAGCACUCAGGUCUGUCUGUCUCAAAAGGGAAGAGUUUCCGAGUAUUGUUGGCCAUCCAAGAGAGAGAAUCAACACCUCUCACAAAUGCUCCUUCAAAUGUGCCAUAAGAAUUAUUAUGGGGGAUUGGAAAAGGACCUUCAAACGCUGCAAGUAGUGCCCAGACAGAACUCAGCUCUAGUCUCUGAACAUAGAGGGCACGAAAUUGGGUGAGGACUUGGAAGAAAAGGAUAUGUCUCAUGAGUUCAGAAUUCAGUUCGAUAGUAAACCUUCAUUUGCUUAGUCAGUUGGGGUAGACCUGAUGUCGAAAGCAGACGGUUGGCACAUUUCCCUGAUCAAUGGGUUAAAAAGGAUCAACUAGAGCCCAAAUAUAUAAUACUGUCUGACAAAAAGAAAUAUAGAAAUACAAUGUGCUUCUUGCAGGUAGGGAAAAAGUGAGUUCCAAAAAAUCCAAGGAUUAUAAUGCGUGAAACAAUCUUUGUCUGUUCCUGUCUAUGGUUCAUAGCACUUCACUACUUCCACAAAUUAUGCUACUCCCUCCGAUCCAUAUUAAUUGUCUCAAAUUUGCCCAAAUAUGGAUGUAUCUAUGUUUAAAAAGCGUCUAGAUACAUAUAAUAUUUCGACAACUAAUAUGGAUCGGAGGGAGUAUCUCUUUAGUGCUAUUUGGUAAACUUAUCUUACGACCGGUUCAUAGUUGUACACUGAUUCAUAAACUAAUACUCCCUCUGAUCCAUAUUAAUUGUCUCAAAUUUACCCAAAUAUGGAUGUAUCUAUGCCUAAAAAGCGUCUAGAUACAUGUAAUAUUUCGACAAUUAAUAUGGAUCGGAGGGAGUAGACGAAGAGAAAUAUGCCACAGUCAUCCAAGUUAGGUACAACUGUACAAGAAGGAAACUUUUACGGCGAUCUAUCAAUUGAAGUAAAAUCCAAUUUGUUUUCAGAAUUGACAUUUGAAUAAAUACACUUCACGUUUAUUUAGCUAAAUGAGGAUAUAAAUAAUCGUCGAUAUAUGGAAUAAGACUUUAUGUAACUUUAUAACAUGUUAGACUUGGGUUUACAAAAAGAAGUGUUGAGCUAUCACAAAUGGAGCAUAUUGGAAAACACUGAAGACUUACCUCCUAAACUAGUUAACUUAUAACAAACUAACCAAAAGGAAGUACUCCGUAGUAUUAAUGUUUGCACAUAAAAGAACUAAAUACUGGAAAGGAAAACUGCACUCACCAUUAUGUGCUAUUACAAUUGCAUCGUACUGACCCCGGGGCUUCUCAUUCUCAAACAAGCGCCAUAGACCGUUGAAUGGCUCCAGCUUGCUUAUCCAGGAAGGUCGUAUAACUUUAAUCAGGUCGUUCUACAUGGUUUUAUAUGCAACUCAGCAAUGAAAUGAAGAACCGACAAAUUCAGUGACUGACUGAUGGACUGAAACUCCAACAACCAGAUGAUGGUAAUAUUCAGUCACUACACUCUACUGUAGGAUAUGAUCAUGAAAUGGUGUAGUGAAUGAAGUCAUACAGUGAUACAGAUAUACUCCUUAGUUAAGUUGAUACAACGUGGAGAAUGCAUCCGACAGCUGUCGAUAAGAUAUACUCCAUCCGUCCCAUAUUAAGUAACUUUCUAUUACAUGUAUCUAGACGUAUUUUAGUAUAUAUAGAUUUUUGACAAAUUUUAGUCACUUAAUAUGGGACGUAUGGAGUACCUCAGGCAGCAUUGCAUCCGCAAGCGGGCGCAUUCCGUUCACGCCGAUGUACCUUGGCGUCGAGGAAUGGAUAGGUCUAAAAUGGCCACCAGCCUCGAGCUCGCCGAUUGAGCCCCUCCAUUCCCGGACCAGCCCUCUCUCGACCCACUCUUCGACCAGCUUCUGGAACCUCUCGUCGCUGGCAGUGAAGAACUGCGCCGCGUGAUCGAACACCAGCUGCCGCUCGUCGUCGACCGCCCUGGUCGCCAUCCUCCCACCUAAGCCGUGCAUCCCCUGCAUCAUCGCCGAGAAAGGGAGUGAUUCUCGCGCGCGUGGACGGGCGCGGAGCGAGGGAGGUGUUGGGUGGGGUGGGGGCGAGGGGGGACGAACCGUGUCGAAGACGACGGAGCGGACGCCGCGGGCGGCGAGGGCGGAGGCGCAGGCGAGGCCGGAGGCGCCGCCACCGAUGACGGCUACGGUGGGGUCGGGGGACACGGGGGUGGAGAAGACCACCUGCUCCUGCUGGAAGCUCUUCCUGAUGGCCGAUUGCCGCGAGAACCGAGGCUUACCGCGCGGGCGCGGCCUCGGAGGACGCGCUCCCCCGCCAUCUUUGGAGGCGAGCACCGCGGCGGAAAAGAGGGACGCGGUGCGCUUGGCAGUGGGGCGAGCGCAUGGGGCGUGCUGAAGGAGAAGAGACGGCGGCAUUGCGGCCUCACAGGUGCUCGACGAAAUGCGGAAGUGAGAGCGGGUAAGAAGACCGUUAUCUGUUUACGAGGUGGAACUUUUUUCUAUCCGGCUGGCGGCCGACGGAAAAUCGGCCGACUGCCCGCGCCUCUCCGAUCUCACUGACCUUCCUAUUAUUGCAACACGAGAAAUCCAUACAUACCAACCUUUACAAUAAUUUUCAAAACUUUCAAAAAUGUUACUCGUACUCCUUACAACAUUUCUUCUUCUUUUUGUACCGACUCGUACAACAUUUCAAGCAUGCAGUCCGUAUGAAACAUGUGCAUCGUAAAUACCCCACACACAACGUAUACAACAACGGAAAUAUAUUUACAACUAGUCAAAAGCGUUACUACGGAGAAUAAAUACGAAUAGCAUGAAGAAUCUUUCUUCUCUUUUUCCACUUUCAUUUCAUCCCUUGGUUUGAAUGUUGAUUUGCUUCACAAGACAUGCUACUCAGUUUGGUAUGUCGGUGCGCAUUUGGUGGAUGACAACCCGUUAAGCAAACUUAAAACAUGUGUCAAUAACAACAUUCAUAUGCAACAAGCAAUGGAAGUGAAAAUGCAAUGGGUUUUCAUUAAUUUCUCAACAAUUUUAUCAAGUAAUAGACAGUAGAAAAGGUUCUAAAAACAAGUAAAUGGUCAGAUCUCAGAUGAAUUGACUCAAAAGAAAAAUUUACUAAUCAUUACGUGCCGAUUAUUGGGUCACUGCAUGCACUUUAGAUCAAUGCGUUUAGAGAAUCUCUAGCAUGUCUCUAAACUCAUUCUCAAUCUCUAAAAGCUGUUACCGUUCUUAAAACUGCUCAAAAACAUGCUCCAAUUGGUUCCUGGUCCAUUCUCAAUUCCUAAAAACAAUCUAAGAAAAGCUUCGAGUGAAACCAACUACCGCUUUUGUACUUUUCAGGACUGAUCCAACUCGACCCGGCGCCGUCGGGACGCCGCCGCCGACCUCCUCCGGACACCACCCUGUCAUCCGCGUCCUAUCCGUCAUCCCCCAAGCCUCCCGACCCCAUCCCUUGCCCAGUAACAUCCUAUUGUUAACCGCACUAAUUUACAUAAGGUGCUGACCACAAUGCAGAGAUGCAAGUGUUUGAGCUAUGUGCAUGCCAAAGAAAUCAAAUGGCUUAUGUGCACUUGAUAAUUUUGUCAAAUGGAUUCACUGCAGAGGACUCAAGCAGACUAAAUCGUGAAUCGUAACUUAAUAGAUAGUACUCAAGUCACUUAUUUCAGGACAAGGGGAGUAACAAAUAUGAAAAUAAUCGAUAAUAACCUAUGAAACACAUUCCAAAACAUGUACUCUGGCAACAAGAGUCGAAUCAACCUAUGCAACGACCAAAAAUCUGAACAUUGUACACUUUUUACCAUUUAUGAUUUGACACCACUCUCGACGCAUUGGCCUGUCGGAGCUCCCCUAUCAUCAGGUUAGAUCAAAGCUUGGUUUUGAUACACCCUUAAGCCACCAUUUUUGCUUGGCUCAUUGGCAUGGUUAACGAUUGUUUCAAAUUGUACAUGGCCACAAGCUCCGCUUUCUCUCCACGGUGAAUUAAUUCUCCCCUAAGGAGCAUGGAUAACCAAAGGAGAUAGGAAUACAUGAGCUAGAGCUAGGAUGGAUAUCUUAAACAGGGUGGAUGGCGUCCCACUAAUAGAUUGCUAGUUGAUACAUAUGUACAUUUUUUUGUUUCAUCUAUUUUGUUGUUUGCUUGUCGUACCCAUCCUUUUAUGAUCCCUGAACCGUAAGACUUUGGAACUAAACGUUAAAAUAAAAGUUCUUAGGUGCAUCAAUUGAUGCAAAGGCCGAAGAUACCCUGUUUUCAUUUUCAAAGAACGAAUGAGCUGGAAGAGUAAAACCCCAAGAAGGUCAGGAUGUAAACGGCGCCCUUAGCGGCGCUGACGGGCUCGUCAGAUGUUCUUUCCUAGCACAAAUUUUGUUUUGUACGUCAGCUGCUUUGGUCUUUAUUAGGAAUAAACGGGCCUUAAACGGCUGCCCGUUUACAUCCUUACAAGAAGGACAAGGAUGGAGGAAGCGUGACAUCCUCACAUCCAUGAAGUAGUGGUCUAGCUCAGUCUACAAGUGUACUGGGACCAUUGACACUUUCACUCUCGUUUUAAUUUUUUCGAUCAUUUCAAUAUGACAGGGCGACCAUCACAGUUGCUCUCCAAAAAAAAACCGACCAUCAUGGUUCACAGGUUACAAGCGUUACCCAUCGUACUUUAAAAAAUGUCCAAACCUCUACUUGAACUACAAGCCGAAGUACGUGCAUACUCGCAGAAAUGACAUUUUAUCAUGAAUACCAUCACAUCGAUGCAAGAAGUGUUUGCCUUUUUGCGCAUAAGAAGUGUUCUUUGAAGCGUCGUUGUCGUUGAGAAAGCUUGGAUUUGGCAACUCUGUGUGAGCAUGAACAUGCAUUGUGGACAUUGCUGUCAAAAGUCAUACUUAUUUAUGCCUAACUAAACAGGAUGAAAUCCAUGUUUUUUUUAUCAAGUCCGAAGAAUAGAUCUCGCCUAAAUUUUAAACUGAAGAGAACAGAACAGAGGGGUAACUGAGGAACUGAAACUAAAAAAAAGGCUCCUAGAUCCUAAUUGUUGGAAAUCAAAUUGGUAGGUUUGUUUAAUUUAAAAUCAGCAUUUCAGGUUUGGACUGAAUUUCGUAUAUAAAGCAAUUUAUUUAUUUUACAUAAAUUUUAGUUAUAUUUGGAUUUCAUCAAAACAAAUUCCUCGUGGUCGUAUCAUUCUUCGCUAAACCUCCCUCUUGUCAAUCUUUGAUCCGUGACCAAUUUGGCAAGCUGAGCAAGAGAUAGCUGAAAGCUUAUUUUUCUUUUGAGAGUGUUAUUUCUCAGUCGACUAAAAAAAUAGUUAUUUCUCAUCUAUAAUCGUAGCUAUCUAAUCAAGAUCUUUUUAUUAAUCGGACAUAUAUUAAUCUUACACGAACUCGAUAAUUGAAUAAAAAAUUAUUAUCAUCAACUGGGAAAUAAGAAAUAGUCCGAAGAAAUACUCGUUUCUCAGUCCUAAGAAUUCUUAGGAAAAACCGUUUUCUUUUGCAAACGAGUACGCACGACAGCAGCAAACCGCUGGACGAACCACGAGAAGGAAUCUUGACUAUUGACUGCUGUGGCACCUGAAGCCACCGACUAGAUUCCCACGCACUAGUGCCCUACUCUACUGCACCGUGGAACCAAGAGCCCCUUUCCCUCUCUCUUUUGAUCAUUUCAACAAAGUGAAAUAUACAGUGGUAAAUAUCGCACGCACGCAUCGGCCUCCCCGAAAACGUCCAAAUUCCUUCUGCCCAAGGGAGAAAAAAGGGGUCUUGUUUGCUUUCUUUUCACCUCAUCUGCUUGUUCCCCUCCUCCAUGGACCUCAACGCAACACCAUGCUGCGGCUGCUGCACUGUUCUCUAGCUUUCCUUUCUGGAGCGCUUCUGUUUGUCGCCGUUCCUACUUCUAGGCGUGCGCCUUUCAAAAAUCUCCACUUCCCCCAACGAAGCAUUCCCCUCGUUCUGCUAUAAAACUCGUCCAAAAUUUUUCCAAAUCAAACGCAGUCGAUCGAUCGAACACAGCACACCCAAAAUGCCGCGUUUCCACCAUUGCUCGUCCAUGUUCCCCCUGCUGAUCCUCCUCUUCAAUCUUCCUACAUGGUCUGUGCAAGGAUUAGUCACCAAUGGGGGCCACCAAGACCUCUCUUUCCUCCUCUCCUUCAAGGCAUACAACCCAAACAACGCCAAGUCCCUGGCUACCUGGGUCGGCCCCAACCCGUGCUCCGGCUCAUGGGCCGGGCUCAGGUGCUCCAGGGGCAGAGUGGCAGGCGUCUUCCUUGACAACGCCGGACUCGCCGGCAGCGUGGCGCCUCUCCUCAGGCUCACCCAGCUCAGGGUGCUCGCCGUUAGAGGGAACUCCCUGUCCGGCCCUCUCCCUCCCCUCGACAACUCCACGAACCCGACCCUGAGGCACCUGCUGCUCUCCCACAACGACCUCACCGGACCCCUCAACCUCUCGCUGCCUUCUCUGGUCACUCUGAAAGCAGAGCACAACGGAUUCCAUGGCGGCCUGCGAGCGGUGCGCGUGCCGAUGGUCAGAAGGUUCAAUGUGUCCAUGAACAUGCUUGCCGGCGAGAUCCCCGGCUCGCUGUCGGGUUUCCCGAGCUCGUCUUUCGCCGGCAAUCUCGGUCUCUGCGGCACGCCUCUCCCGAGAUGUGUCCAUGCGUUCGAUGCACUGGAAGAUGUCGCUCAAUCUCCUAUUGCGGCAGCAGAUAUAAGUAAUGGAAGACUCAGUAAAUUCAGCUUGGCUGCGCUCUUGGCCACUGGCAUUGGCAACGCGGUGCUCAUCACGGCCUCGUUGGCCAUCUCGGUAGCCAUGUUCAUCUACAUGAGAAGAAAGCUGAGAUCCCAAACAAAGGACGAAGCGGCUUCUUCCAGAGCGGGCCUCUGUUUCGAAGACGAAGACAAGAUCAUCAUGAGGAAUACCAACGACGAAGAGAAGCCGUGCGCGCAGAAGAGCGGCGCGCUGGUGCGCUUCGAGGGCGGCGAGGAGCUGCGGCUGGAGAGCCUCCUGAAGGCCUCGGCGGAGGUGCUGGGGAAGGGCGUGUCCGGGAGCACCUACAAGGCGGUCCUCGAGGACGGCAUCGUGGCGGCCGUGAAGCGGCUCAGCGCGCUGCAGUUCCCCGCGGGAGGGCGCAGCGGCAGGGCCUUCGACCGGCACAUGCGGCUCGUGGGCGCGCUCCGGCACCGGCACGUCGUCAGCCUCAGGGGCUACUGCAGCUCCAACGGCGAGCGGCUCCUCGUCUAUGACCACCUCCCCAACGGCAGCCUACAGUCCCUUCUGCAGCUGCAAGGCAAUGGCGAGAGAAGGCUAGGCUGGGCGGCGAAGAAGAGCGUCCUGUUCGGCGCGGCGCAGGGGCUGAGCUACAUACACACGGCGGGGAUGGCGCACGGGAACGUGAAGCCGUCCAACAUCCUGCUGGACGAGCGUGGCGCCGCGUGCGUGUCCGAGUGCGGGCUCAUGAGCUACGCCGCGGCCGGCAUCGUCCAGCAGCAGCAGCAGCAGCAGCCCAGGUGCCCGCCCGAGCUGAUGUUCAACGGCAGAGAACGCGGCGGGGGAUGGCGCGGGUACGCGGCGCCGGAGCUGCAGGCGGCGCCGGGCGCGAGGGCGACGCAGGAGGCGGACGUGUACAGCUUCGGGAUGGUGCUCCUGGAGGUGGUGACGGCCGGCAAGGGCAGCGGCGAGGAAGAAGAGGGGGAAGGGGAGGAGACGAUGGGGAUGGUCAGGAUCGGCGUGCUGUGCACCGCCGAGGCGCCGGAGGAGAGGCCCCGGAUGGCGCAGGUGCUCGCCAUGAUGAGCGAGUUCAUGUGAAGCACUGCAAGUGUUUGAAGAACUGUCAUGGACCCAUGAACGGUAUUUCUCAUUUUUCUCCUCUUGCUUUGCAGCUGCAGCCUGCAGCAAGAGAUCGAGGCGAUGCUGCCAUGAAUGUAAGACUGGAGAAGUAGAGAACAAGUUUUAAGAGUUGGAUGUUGAUUUGUUGUAAUCUGAGUAGUUUAUGUCGCUAAUCAAAUGCAUUCAACCCGGCGACCGGCGCCGGUGCAGCCGAUCGAACUGUUCAUUUUUUUAUCUUCUCUGAGAAAGGCCAAUCGAAUCAUUCGCUCUGGGCCUCAACGAUGGUAAAGAGGAGACCGGCGGCCCAAAACAAUUCUGCCCAAGACCUGUCCAAUUUCGGCCUCGAUGGCCCAGUAUCAAAUAGCCCCGGCUUUAUGGGCUUGGUUUUUUUAAGGGAAAAGGAGGGACUGACAGCCGAUGGAAAAUACGAUAGGGGGUUACGCUGUAAGCACAGACGAACAGUCGCGGUCCAGUCCGGUAAAAUAACAUCCAUGGUUGCAUACCACGCUUUCAGUUACGCCGAGUUUCUCUAAGAAAAAAAAAAGGUUACGCAAAAGAGUUCGCAGCGGGCAACAUCGUGUCUCGAAGGUGUUUGCCUCGCAAGCAAUCACGCCAGUAAACCCUUGAUCAUUAAUUGAGGCCGACCGCGUCUCCCUCCUGCAAGCCUGGAACCGUGGCACGCUUGUUUGGCCACCUAUUAGAGACAUUAUCUCUUCUCUCGCAGAUGGUCCAAACUUCCUUUCUUGCGAAGGUUCAGAGAGCUGGCAAACAGUGUAGCGUAUGAACUAGGCCAGCCAGACAGUACGAAGUACAGGUCUCAACGACUACUGAGGUCGUGUGUGUGUCAUUCAUUGUGUGUUUAUAUAUCCAACCUCUUCUUCUAAUAAAAGCUUUCUGUUAUUUGUCGACCAAAAGAGGAACCAAAAUAGCAGUCCCCUGCAGAGCUACUACAGCCUACAGAUGCACUGAGUGUACCUUAGUGUGGUGAGACGAAAAGAGAGACUCUCUGUUCUUCUACUUUUUGACCGUAAACACACGUCCGAUGCGAUGAGAUAGAUGAGCUAAAGAAUGCUUCGGUUCUCUUUUUACCGUUGCCAUGAUACAGUUGGUAUGGGUGCCCUACCAUGACAACUCAUAUGUGGACCAGUGCUUAACAGCAGCACAUGGCCGCAACAUGCUUCAAUUAUUUCAACCUUUGGAAUUGGAUACCCUCACCGAAUUGACAACCCGGCAUCUCCAAACAAACCUCAAAGUACAGAGCAUCGCUCAGAAAGAAAAAAAUCCCCCCAGGAAAAGAAAAGCUUAUUCUGCAGUUUUGCCUAGCCACUUGCAAUGCUCGAUUGGCUGAUGGAUUCUUUAGUUUUACAAAGCCAUUUGCAAUGCUCGGUUGGCUGAUGAUCGAAGAUCUUAAGUCAUAGGGACAUAUUCCUCUUUUUUUUUAGGGAAAGAAGACAUAUUCCCGUUUCCUUAGCGUGUUCUUUGUUUACUGACAGAAGGCAUGAGGUUCCCCUUUUGAACCAUCAAAAGCUUUGUUUCAACUGACGGCUAGAAAAUGCGUUGUGUAUAUAUGUCAAAUGUUCAGAUGAUAAGUUGGCGGCUGGACAGAGUUCUGAAUUUCACAGCACAAAAUUUCCUCAAAACGCAUUACUGCAAGACAGUAGCAUCAAGGCUGUUGUUGAUUUAGAAGCUGAAGAAUUAAGAAUGAAUCAAUCAAAUAAAUGGUCUCAUUCAUAGCAAGAACAAGGGUAAGUACAUGAUCGAUCACCACCACCACAAAGAAUGGCACGCCGGCGCACGCACUACGUCACACACACACACACUCACGCACACCUCCCCCCCCGGAGCAGGACACCGCCGCGACCCAUACAUACACGCACGCCCACACGCCCAAACACACACCUCCACACGACACCAAGGAGCAAACCAAGAGACAACCAGGAACCGCGGAACCGCACGCGACGGAGCCACAGAUCUAGCAGAAGAGGUAUCCGAAGGCGGCGGCGGCGAAGGAGGCCGCGGCGAGGGGCAGCGCGGCGGCGGCGGCGUCGGAGGCGGGCGCCGGUGCCGGGGCCUCGGCGGCGGCCGCGGAGGCGACGAGCGCGGCGGCCAUGGCGGCGGCGGCGACGAACUUCAUCCUGAGACCGGCCAUGGGUGGUGGUAGUAGUGCUCUCGUCGGCGUCGGAGGAGAGAUCUCUCUAGGAGCGUGGGAGCUGGCUAGAGAGAUGCUCUGCGCGCGGAGACGGAGGAGCUAGCUAGGCGGCUUUGUGGAUGGAGGUGGGAGGGAGAGGAGCGCAGUGGGGGAGGGUUAUAUAGCGAGCGAGGCCAGGUAGGUCGCGUAGGAAGGAGAAGAGUACGGCUGGCCGUUUGUUCGUUCGCGUUUGGUUAGGCUGGCGCUGCGGUUGGGGCGGCCGGGAUCCACUCUGGCUGACCAAGCUUCAAGUUUGAGCGCGUCUCCGGGCGGGCACGCGCGUCGGGUUGUUCGGCACUACUGCUAGCUCGUUCGUCCAUCAAUAAACGUGCGCGCUGCGCUUGCUUCCUUGGUC